UUUUUUUUUUUUUUUGUCAAAUUGUACAAAAUACUCGUAAACUUUGUAUUUUGUGUCAAAAAUACCUUUGAAUUUUCAAGUUUCAAAAACACAACUUUUAUAAAAAAAAAAAAAAUAUUAAGAGCACUCCUAUCCAUAGUUUUAGAUAAAAAUGGGUAAUGUUUUGUUUCAAAAACACUAGUGAACUUCCAAAAUCGCUAAUACUCCUUUCAAAAAUAUUCUUAAAAUUUAAAAGUUCCUAAACUCUUUAACCUUAAAAGAAAAUAAAGCUUUACAAUAAAAUAAAUUUGUGUUGAAGAUUUUAUAAGCUAAUAAAAUCAAACUAAAACACAAAUUACAUACUCAUUUUUUCUUCACAUAGACACUCUCAUUCUUUUUCUAUUUGUUUAAUUCUUAUACCAAUUUUCUCACAACAAAAUAUAAACUAAAACUUCAUGUUAAAAUAUAAAGAAUUUAACAAAAUCUCACAUAAUUUUAAAAUAAAAAUAUUCCCCUAAAUUUACCAAAACAAAAACAAUAUAUCUAGCUAUUUACACAUACUCAACUACAAAUGUAUAACAUCCUAAAACAUAUAAUAAGUCUUAAAGAUCUCACUUGGUGCUUUAUUAUUUCUCAUGUGUACGUGUAUGUGGUUACUAACACAAUUUUUUUAAAUUCUAAAAUUAUUUUUCAUGUUGUGUUAGCUAUGUGUACUUUUGUACAUUCAAAAGUAUUUUUUAAACUUUCAAAAUUUAAACAUAUUUUAAAACACGUUAGUUUAAGAACAAUUUCUUAAACUAUUUUUAAUACAAACGUUAAAGUUGAAAUAAUUUAUUUAUGAUUAUGAUUAUUUAUUAUUUAUGUAAAGGGGAUUUGCAUGUAAUUUAAGUACAUAUGAUCCGUUACGGAUCUCCUAUCUUGAAUUUGGGCCGGCCCAUUAUUUUCAUGUCUUGAUUGGUUUACUUUGUCAGCCCAAAUGUAUGUGUAUUUUCUCAAAACUUAAUGAAAUUUCAAUUUUAUUUGGUAUGAAAUGUAAAUAUUUUAACAAUUUCCCCCCUAAAAUUUAUAGUUGAAAUGGAUGAGUUUUGGUAAAAUUAUUAAAUGGUUAAUUUGUUCAUUGGACCAAGUUUUUUUGGGGCAAGACAAAGGAGGAGGAACAACCAAAACCAGUUCCUCUCUCACUUCUUCAUGGCAGAUGAGAGGAAGAAUAUAAGAAGGAAAAACAGUUUUUCAGAAUAGAAAACAAUCUUGAGACCUGAGAGGAUGUGUCAACGAUGCAAUACCAUGAGCGGUUUUGUCCUCAAUAGAGAGACUUUGAUAUCAGCUAAAGAGCCCUUCUUUUUUUGUUCAUCAUAUUUUUAGUUUCUAAUAUAUCAAAAUUCAUCUCAAGCAAUACAUUUAAGAUUUGACCCCAACCACUCGUGCUCGACCAUAGAAAUACCUUCCAAAAUCCCUUUAGCCGACUAAAUUAGUUAAGAAUCAAAAUUGAUAUUCUCAUCUGUAAAAUCAAUUUUGGGACUAUUUUGUAAAGGCACACAUCAUAGUCUUUAUAUUCAUAGAUUCAAGCAUUAAUUCUUAUGAUAACUAAGAUGUGAUCACAUCCUCUCCUUCUCAUAUUUUAGAUCAUUCUUAUAAUUGUUUUAAGAAAAUAAUAUUUCUACGCUGAGGAAUGACUCUUACAUAGGGAUAGAGUUUCAUUAUUCUUUUAAAUUUUAAAUGAUUAUUUUUUGUUGUUUUAAGGCGAAAAAAUAAUUUAAAGAUAAAAGAAAGGAUAUUAAUUCUAUUCAUCAUCAAAGAAUAAUCUUUCGUAUUGAACCAAUCUGAUCACAAGGAAACAAUAACAUGUUUUUCCAAUUAUAUUGAGCGAAUAAAUACUAUGCUAUUUUCCAAUUUCAAGGGUACAAAUUGUGGAUCUCUAAAAAAAGAAAUCACCAAAUUGUGUUUAAGAUUUUAUAUAGUGAGAAAAAAUAUACCUUCUUUAGUUCUACAAUAGGUACGUCAACGGGUAAAAUUGUUGAGUUUGAAAGCUUAAUGACCUAAAUACAAUUAAAAUAAUAUUUCCUAAAUAAAUAUGGAAGAAAUUAGUGACAAUUAGUGACUUAAUUGCAAUAGAGGGGUUUAGUCCGAGUGCACUUGAGAUAAGACUUGUGAAAAUAAAGCUUCCUAUAGUACACUCAUAAUUACUACCUUCAAUAUGCCCUCUGUGCAUGAAAAAUAAAACUGCCAACACCUUUUCUUCAAUGGUUAGGUUUUUUCAAGAACUUUUCAAGGAAGUUAUUCUUACACUUUAAUUUGAAGUGGGUUCGGCGCAACUCUUUCAGAGGAGAAUGUUAUGCAUAUCUAAGUGGGGCCUUAUUUCAGAAAAUUUUUAUCAAAAGUUUGUUCCUUGCCUUAUUUAGGUAAAUGGUGUCAAACUGAUCCCCUUGCAAAUUUAGUUUCAAAGGAAUCAAAAAAAUUGAGGUAAGGGUUCAAGUUUGGUGCUCUUUUUCAAAAUUAUUUACGGAGUACUCGAGUGCAUAUUAGCUUAAAUUGAAAUGCAUUUAUAUUCUCUUUAUCGUUUUUAGUCUGGUUUGGUGAUGUUUUGACUUAAUUUUGUUAUUAUUCCAACAUUAUUAAGAUUUUAUGUCAUUUUGUAUUUCAUUCUCUUAUUUGGAGAGUGAUGAAUACAUUUUGGGUGUGUCGAAUUAGAGUGUACCUAUUGAUCUCUAGUUGCUUAUUAUAUUUCAUUUUAAUUUGAACAUUAGUACAUUAGUCUAUAUUCAGUGUUGUUUUCAUUAUUAGAUGACAAAAGUAGAUUCGGUUUAGUUGGUCUUUUUUUUUCCUUUUUUUUCAAAUUCAAAAUAAUCUUACAGAACAAAAGUAACUAAAAAUAUAAAUAUAAAUAAAGAGAAAAUGAAGGCAUGCAUCGAACAAAAAAUGGCUAUUUAUUGGUUCAUUUCCAUUUUCAACUCAACCAUAUAUUGAACAUUUGUUUCAUACUUAAAUUUGUACAGACUUUUCAAGGAAACAUUCUUCAUUUAUAUAUAUAUAUAUAUAGAUCAACUUCAAACGAAAUCUACAAUUCUAACCUUCAUAAAAUAAAACUUUAUUAUAGCAAAAAAAAAAAAACAAUAAAAUAAGGAUAGUAAAGACAAGAAAAUCAUUUUAUAAGAACUAAACCAAUGGCUGUGACAAUAAGAGUUGAGGGAAGUCCAAAUUUAAGAUGAUUCCAGAAGGAUAAAUUGUAGCUUAGCUGUGGAGUGCGACGAGCCUGUUCACACACAAUCAAGUUGGCAGCUGACCCUAACAAUGAGAGAUUUCCAGCUACAGUACUGAUCCAAGCUAAAAGAAGCCAUGCCCGUUUUUCUUCGGUUGGAGAAAUUGCAGCAGCCGAUGCAGCGACUCGUGCUCCAAGCAGAAGAACUAACAAUAUGACAACAUAAAAGUAUAAGAUACAGUUGCACUUUCGUAACGACUGACAGGUCAACCGAACCAGAGAAUUAAAUCAAGAAAAAUUAUGUAGUCAACUCUUUUUAUUCAAGAUUUAAUCAAAUGAAGAUAUUAAUUUGUUGAGUUAGUACCUAUCUACCCUAGAUAAUCAUGAAAUCCUGAGCUAACAACCUGGGUUUUUUCCUGUCCGUUCAUUGCUUUAUACUACGAAAACGAAUUUGUGUUUUGUCAAUAUGUUCAUAACCUCAAUCUUACUCGUACAUAUCAGAUGCAGUGAUCGUCUAAAUAAUCAGAUAUUUCUUCACAGAUUAUUUUGUGCAUUUCAAAUCAUCCAACACCAAAAACAUGCAAGUAACAAACUUCAGGGUUUCUAUCCUAUAUUGGAAUCUUCAUUCUAUGAAGGCUAUAAACAUUCAGAAGAGGAAAAUGGAAGAGGUAAAAUAUGGAAAGCAAGCAACAGUAAGAGGAAAAGUAGUCAAUACCAGUAGGCACGUUUGAAGCCAAGUUUGAGAGGUACAGUAUGACAAGAGCAAGAACUACAGUGCCAGAAACACGAUCAAUCUGUGCAUGCGGCUCCAUGAAAUUCCAAAAAGCACUUGGCAAUCCAGUUUUGUUAAAUCCAUCAACCGUCAUAAACAUCCCACAAAAGAAAACUAAAAGUGAAUAUGAAACCUGUGGAAAUAGUAAAAAAAAAAAAAAAGAAUUGUUAAAUUUCAUCGAAAAACUAGAAUUUGUAAUGAUUAAAGAUGGGCAAAGAAAUAAUGGUUCAAACCUUUUCUAGGCAUGGCUGAGCAUCCUUGAAAUCAAGAACCACAAGAGCGAGUGCAGCAGUCACGGCAGUCCAUGACAUAUCCAAGCCCAUCAAUAAAGCAACAAGCAUUCCUACAGUCACAAGAUAAACACAGGAUUUCCAUGCAAUCCUUCUCCAUUUGGUGCUCCAAUGUUCCUUCCCUUCUGAGGACUGCAAAAUUACAGGUUCUUUCUGUUUUUCCAUUGAGUUGAGGCUCUUAGAAGAGAAAUCUUCUUCCCUUUUCUGAGUAGACGCAUUGGGCAGCCACUCUUUUGAAGCAUCAGAUAUUCUUGCCGGCUCCGUCAUAGUACUAUGAGACCUGCGGAUUUCUUCAUUAUCUUUUGAACUUACUGAAUUUCUUAUAGUUUCCACAUUUGUGUUCGAGCAUGGAGGACUUUGUGCGUUCAUCAAAUCCAAUCGAGAAUCCCAUUCUGCAGAAUUAAGGGAUGGAAUUUGUGAGUGUGAUAAUCUGGCUGGUGAAAAUCUGUGAGAAAGAACAUCUUCAUCGGCAAUAACUUCUGGUGAUGGAUCUUCUUCAUCCUUCUGGACAGAUAACAAUUUCCAGUACAUGAUAAGAAUAAUUAAAGCAUUUACAACAACACCAACAAGCAUAGCUGGGAGUAUUCCAAUCACAAAUUGCCCAAAAUGAAUUUUACUCUGGACAGCUAUGACCAAGUUUUGGGGGUUGCCAAUCGGUGUUGCUGAAGAACCAAUAUUUGCACUCGAUGCAAGGGCAAGAAGGAAGGGGCGGGGAGGAAGAUUAUGUUGCCUGGCAAUUUUUAAAACAAAUUCAGUCAAAACCACACAUGAGGUGUCAUUGGUGAAAAACGCACUUGAAAUUGCAGAUAUCAGACACACUCGACAAAUUAAAUCCUUUGCUCCUUUACUCUUCCACGACAGCACCUUACCCAAAUACUUGAACAUAUCAGCUCUUUCAAGAUAAACACUAACUACCAUUGUUCCAAACAGAAGACCAAGUAUUGGGAGAUCAAUGGCCGCAUAUGCUUGUUCUGGAGUUAGGACUCGAAAUACGACCAUGAGCAUUGCCCCUAGGAUAGAACCUGCUGUUCUCCCAAUUGGUAGAAAUGGGAUAGCAGGGAAAACAGCUAAUAACCAGAAGACUGCGAAGGCAAUUGAGCCUAGAAUGACUUUUACAGUAUGAUCCAUGGCCAUGUUUGCAAUCAGAUUCAACUCGAGUCAGCUUUGAACCUGAUUGACUGGAAUUUAUUUCGAAUGUCUUUUCCGCAACACAGUACCUCAGUAUCUUGAAUCAACUACUCAUCCAAGCCAAGCUGAGAAGAAAAAUUAGUUUAAAUAACUUAAACAGAGUCAUAUGAACAAAAAUAAACUAUAACCAAAAUGAUAGAAUGCAAGGAUAAGGGAGACAAGGGAAAAAAAACAGUACUACAAGGAACCUGCUAUUUAGCUUGAAACGAUGACAAAAUUUCUGAACAUAAACCAUCAGUGAAGAAUUUAUAUAUGAACCAUCUAACUUUCUAAAAGCUAAACUCUAAGAGAUAAAUGUUGAUUGAGCCAACUUGUACCCAUUUCUUCUAUAUUUUAACUUUGAAGAUAAGAAGUCCACUUGCCAUGUAACAUUAAUUUAGAAAAAGUUCAAGCAAUAUAUUGGGAAUGAAUAUUAAUCUAAUAGCUAGAACUUUUAGAAGUAGGACUCAUACAAUUGUAUAGAAAAGAGCAUGGUAUCCAACAGUACUAGACACUCUGCUUUUUCACCCACUUCUAAAACAGAUUACCAACUGGAUCGUAUUUGGGUAGUGACAUUAGUUUCUAAGUAGCCAUUGCCAUGGAAUUAAGAACCCAAAUCUUCAAAGAAUAAUAGUGGAAAUACGAAAUUCAUUGACCAAUAAGAAUAAGAGAUGGGAACCAAAUUAAAGGUAGCAAAAUUAGAUUAAAUUACAAAAAGUAAAUGCGGGUUUUUCAAAUACUUCAGGAAAGGGCGGCUCUAAGCUCUCAUGGCUUAAAAAUGGAACUUCAAAACCUCCAAUACAACCAAUACAAAUACAUCCCAGAUUGAGAAGUUUAACAAAUUCAAGUUUAAAAGACAAAAGAUUAAGAGGGCCCCAACAUCAAAAGAGGAAAGUGUGUAAAAAUGGACUGCAAAUUGAUACACUACCAUUGAAAACAGAUCAUCAAAAACUAUAAAGACGAAUCAACUUUUGUAACCUCCUUAGUGAAAGCUUAAAAGAACUUACAGAAAAAAUUGUUUGCAUCUGGAUCCAAAAAAGAAGAGAUCAAAUCUUGCUCUUUCUGUUCGAAAACGAAUAGGAAUCAAAUAAAAAAAAAUGGAUAUUAUGGAGGUUCUCACAGUAAUUGAGAGGAAACAAAAAGUUGAACAAACUUCAUUUCUGUCCACAUGGUGAGCUCUCGGCUUUUAUAUAAAAUAAUGCCUACCUACAUACGACAGAAUUUUUGCGUCAGUAAACAAUUUCAUAGCUAUUUCGUCGAGCUGUUCAAGUUAUCUGGGAAUGAGAUUCCUAAAUCCAUUAAUAAAUGUAACUCCUAUUUACAUUUUCGUAGCUAAAAAUAAAAAUUGAAACAAAUACUAUUCAUCGAUGUGUUCAGCAUAUUAGCCGUUCAUUUCAUCACAUACAAUUAAUUGUGAAGAUCGUGAAGCUUUUUUUUCAAACUAAUGGACAAAUUGGGAUAAGGGUUAGUAAUAAUUGAACAGAUUUUUAACCCUAAAACUUUUAAGAACCAUCCCUCAACAAAAUAUACCAUUUGUCCUAUCAAUUUCAUUGUAUCCAAUCUAUCACAGUCAGGGGCGGGCUCCACCAAUCGUCGCCGGAGCAGCCAUCGAUGUUUUUUGCUCCGUCGUCGAAGAAAUCGCGACUUUCUCAUUAAUGAGUCAAAGGCCCUACAAAAGAGGGGGCCCCUUAUGAAGCUUCUAGGCUGGACCAAGUCAACAGGUGCACCUGCAAACUGAAACUCAAGGUUGAAGAGACAAGUGGCGGCGGCGGCGGCAGUGGACGGUGGAUCCGCGGAGGAGGAAGGUGGAUCGUGGACCAAAUGUGGGGACGGAUGUUGGUGUUAUAAUUAAUUGUUCUUAUCUCUAUUAAUUUUUUUCUUUUCUUCUUUUUUUUGAAAAGUCAUUUAUUUUUUUCAAAAAAAUUAAAAUAAAUAAAUAAAUAAUAAAGAGAAGUGUUGCAAUUUCUCAUAAUCUCAUCAUUGAACUUUUUGUAGCAUUUAAUAAAAAUUUAAGCAAUCAUUUAUAAAUUUAAUACAAACUCAAUAAAUGUUAUAGUUGCAUGAAUUUAUCUUCUACACGUAAAUUUUAUUAAAUGCAUAUUUGCUGAUUAUCAAUAUAUAUAUAUAUAUAUUGUAGGUUAGGUGUUGUGUGCAUAUACAUUAGAGUUUAGACUAUUUGUGGAGAGAAUUGUUCGUAGGAUUCGAUACUGUUUAUAGAACUCUAUAUCUUACUUUUAUUUAAUAUCAUCUACUGUUGAAAAUUAUUCAUUUUACCUCAAUUUUUUUUUUAUUUUAUGUAAAUUUUUCUUAAUUUGAAUGUAACUAAUGGUUUCAAACCAUGUUUAAGUAAAUUAAUUUCUCAAUUAUAUUUUAUUUAUUUUAAUCGUAUUCAGUUUUAUAGAGUUAUAAUUUGAAUUUUAUUCAAACAAAUGUUUUAACAAAUUUAAUUUGAAAAUUAUAAGAUACAAUAAUCCUUUUUUUUUUUUUUAAUCUCUCCUUCACAUAUUUAACUCAAUGCAUUUUUAAUAACAACAAUAAUAAUAACCCAAUAACAAUGGAAGUAUAAUUAUAAAAGUCAAAAUGUACUUAUGUCCUAAAACAAAAAGUAUAUCAAAAAAAUUGUAAUAAUAAAGAAUGUACUUUGUUUUCCCUUUAUUUACUUGGUGAGAAACUUAAGCCUAUUAAAUACAUCAUAAAUUGAUUAAUAGAUAUCUUAUUUUUAGAUUCAAACAAGUGGAAGAUUUGAUUCUCCAACAAAUAAAUUUUUAUAAAGUUUUGACUUUUGAGUGAAGUUAUAAUACAUUUCAAUAGCAUAGGCUAGUUUUUAUUUUCAUUAGCAAUCUUCAAAACACUCAAACUAAUUAAAACGUUAUACAUAUGGUAAAGCAAUGUUAUACAUAUGUAUGUAUACAAACACUUUUAGUUGGUAGAUUAUAAAGCUUUCUAUGUAAAUUCACAUUUUAAAUCAAUAAAAAAGGAAAGAAAAAAACUUCUAAUAUCAGUCUACUUUAUUUAUUUGAGGCAGAUAGUAAUGUCUUCAGAUAUUUCUCAAAUAUGUAUCUAAUGCGCAAUUUUGAUAUAUUUAUGUUUUUACGUCAACGUUUUUUUUUUAACACAGAAGAAAGUAGCCUAUUUAAAAAAUUUAUUGUCCAAAACUUACGAUACAAGAAAAAAUAUCUUGACCGACGUAUAAAAGGAAAAAAAAUUAAUAAAUAAAAGGCUUUACCCUAGAAUCAUCAAAUUCUAUCUUCACGUUUGAGUCCCUACAUAUGUAAGUUUUUUUUUUUUCUUGUGGGAAAUUUGCGAUGGAUGACUAUUUUAGCAAUAAUAAUUAAGGAUAUAGCAACAUUUUUAAAAAAAUUGCAAAUAUAGCAAAACUAUCACUGAUAGACUUGUAUCGCUGAUAGACUUCAUAUGGUAUAUCAGUGAUAGACCAAUAUUUGCAACGUGGUCUAUCAGUGAUAGACUUAUAUCAUUGAUAGAAUUUGACAAAUUUUGCUAUAUUUGCAAAUUUUUUAAAAUUGUGUUAUAUACUUAACUAAUUUGAAUUUAAUUGCUAAAUUUGCAACUAUCCCUUUUUUUGUUGCUUGAUUUGUGUUCUGUACUAUUAUAAUUAACUUGACAUUUGAUGAUUUUUAGUACAUUUAGUAAAUUACAUGUUCAAUUUACCUAUACUAUAGACUUUUAUUUAAAAGAAAAACGUGCCUUCAACGUAUCAAUAUCUUUAUUUUUUAUAAAUUGACAUAAUGUCGUGUCCUACCAUAUUUGUUUAUAUGCUUCGUACAUCCAUAUUAAAGUGAAUUUUUUAAAAAUAGUUUUUUUUUAUUUUUCUUGGCAUUUAAAUUAAAAUGAAGUUUUAAAAAAACCACAUUUUAUCUCUAAUUCACUUUUAGAAAAUUAAUCAUCGUGGAUUGGUUCAAUAAUUAAAAAGAGACAUAACUCCAGAAGUGAUUAAUAAGUGAAGUUUAAUAUAUGAUGUCUAUCUAUCUAAUAAUAAUUUCUUUAAGAGACAAAUCAAAUAAUUUUAUACAUGUACAAAAAUUAGAUUAAAGACUAACCUUUACCUUUAUAAAAAUAUCAUAACAUAAUUUAAAUUUAGAAUUGUUUGAUUACUAGUAAUUAAGUCCAAAGUUUAUACAAAUACACCAUUCAACUCAAAAUAAAAAUUUUAGUAAGUACAAAUAAAAAUAAAAAUAUUAUAUUGGUUAAUAUAUUUUAGAUUAGGUUUUAUUUUAUUCUCUAUAUUUUCAAUUUUAGAUCUCAUACACUUAAUAAAUCGUAAACUCAGCCAUUCAAAAUUAAUUUUUAUUAUCAAGUUUUCUUUUUUUUAAAAAAAACUAUAAUUGCUUUUCUAUGAGAUAUGUUUUCACAUUUAUAGAUACAAUAAUGCUCCUAAAAUCAUCAUUUAAAAACACACCAUAGGUAGAAUUGAUCAAAAUCAAAAGUAUACAAAUCUAAAAUAGUAUUUUAGUCAAAUUAUAACCGAACUUUUUACGUGUAAGAUGAAAAGUUUAUAUAAAUUAUGUUGACAUUUUUAACCUAAUAUACGAACUGAACAUUUUACGUGGAAGAUGAAAAAUUUAUACAAAUUAUCGUUGACAUUUUUAACCUAAUAUACAACCGACCUUUCCACGUGGAAAAUUAAAAGUUCAUAUAAAUUAUCGCUGACAUUUUAACCUAGCUAAUUAAUAUUUAUUAUUUAAUGUAUACCUAUGAUUGAACUAUAUGAAAGAGGGUUGAAAACAAAACACAUACUAUAUAUUAAUAAAGAUAUGAAAUUAAGUUAAAACACCGUAGUCAAAAGUCAUCAUAUAUAUAAACUCAUUUAAACCCAAAUAAUUAAUAAUGACUUCAAGAAGAAAACCAAUAAUAAUGUAAGUAUAUAAGUGUCAAAGUCAAAAGUAUGUACUAAAAAAAUAUGAGUAUAUUUUAAAAAAAUUGUUGCAAGUAGAUAUAUAUAUAUAUAUAUAUAUAUAUAUAUAUAUAUAUACAUCUAUAUUUUGUAAUUUUAUUUCUAAUUUGUUUAUUUCAAUUAUUUUUAGUUUAUUUUCAAUGUUUUCAUUACAUCCCACUUUUCUAUUUUGAAAUUGUUUAUUAUUAUUAUUAUUAUUAUGGGUUUAUUUUGCACUUUAUUUCUAGAAGUUUUAAUUAAGUUAUAAAUGCAAAUAUAAAUGCUCUUUCUAUCUUCUAACCGCUUUAUCUCUAAAAUUAGUUGAAUAUCUUAGUUUAGGAAGAAAAUUAUGAAUAAUGUUGAUGUGUAAAUUAUAUUUAUAAUUAUUCAAAAUGUAUGUUUAUCAUUCAAACUAUAUCUAACAAUGAAAUAAAUCUUGAGGACAUGAAAGUAAUAUUAAAAAAAAUUUAAAAAGAACUAAAAGUUAAUAUUCCUCAAGAAAGUAAUAUUAAAAAAAAUUUAAAAAGAACUAAAAGUUAAUAUCAUAUACCAACAAUGUGCACUUUCCUUUAUGAUGACUUGAUGAUAGAAACUUCAAAGUUAAGUGUGCUUAGCUUGGAACAAUCCUAUGUUUAGAUAACCUCUUGAGAAUAUUCCUAAGAUGCACGUGAGUGAGGACAAAACAUCCUGAAAGGACUCAGAUUGGUAUUUUCACUCUAAUAAACCUUUAAAGAUAGUAAAAGUGAUUUUACCAAGUUGCAAGGGAAACAGCGCAAUGUCAUAGAUCCAAAUUCCAAAUUAUGAUUUAAAUAUUGGGUUUGUGACGUUACAAUAUAUACACACGUAAUAUUUGGUUUAAUAUUAUUUUACAAAAUCUCUAGUGUUACUUUAAUUUAUUCUACCCUUGUAUACUUUUUAAAGUAUAGAAAGAAAAAAAAAACACAAAUUGAAAUUAUAAGGAUUAAAAUGAAUAAACGAAAGUAUAAAAAUAAAAUAAUAUUUAACUCUAUUUUAUUUCAAGGUUGGGUCCAUUAGAAUGAAUUAUAUCUUUGAUCCUUUUUUAUACUUUUUUUUUCUUUCAUUUUAAGAAUUCAAUAUUAUAUACAUGAUAAUGAUGCAUGUUUCAUUUUUCUCUUUUCUUUUUUAGUUAAGAGUCCUUUUUUGAGGUUUUUUAAAAGAAGCAAAUUAUAAAAUAGAUUAAGUUUGUGAAUAAAAUAAUGUUAAUGAAAACAUGAAUAUAGAAAGGAAGGUGUUACGUACUAAAAUUGUGACACGUAUCAUUAAUAGUUUCUUACCAAAAAAAUGAGACAAAUAAAAAGUAGACACAUAAUAUAAUGUGCAACAUUUAAUUAAACGUUGAAAACCAAACACUAAGAUACAAAAAAAAAAAAAUAUAUCAUAUGAUUUAGUCAAUAAAUAUUAAUUGGUUCUAAAUUUAAACAAAUAUGUCAAAGCAAAAGGAAACUAGGGCAGGACCCACCCACUAUUUCAUCAAUAAUACAAUUUGUCUUACCAAGAAAUGUGUGAAAUGCUAUUCUACAUUUUCAAAUUAUAAAUUGAAAACCAACAUUUUAGUGUAUAUAUCAAUAGAAGUUUAUAAAUGUUUGCCUCUCUCAGUAUUUAUCAUACAAAUUGUUAUAUAUUUUUGUAGAUAUUUUAUAAUUUUGUUAUUAAUUACCCUAGCUUUUAAAAAAUUCAAAAAGUUUGACAGCUCUCUCGAUUUUUUAAAACGUAUUAUUGCAAAGUGCCUCAUUUGAGAUAUUUUUUUUACUUUAUGACUACGUGAUAAUCUUAAUUAAUUAAAAUUUGUACUAAUACUAAACGUUUUGUGUUCGUGUGAAUGGAAGUUUACUGUAAUAAAUGUUGGGGUGGAGAUUUGAAUCUGAGACCUCUUGUCUACAUGAACAUACAGGUGUCUGUUGAGCUAAGCUCAUGUUGGCAAGUCUAUCAUACUUUAAUGUGAAAGUUGAUAUCGAAAUAAUAGUUUAGUUUUGCGGUUAAGUAUGGUGAAGAUUUUAUUUUAGCGAUUACAUGUUUUUCUUUUUUAAAUUUGGUGUUGAUUUCAAAUAUUUCUUUAAACAAUUUUUUUGUGUGAUGUUUUUUCUCUCUUUGUUUUAAGAAAAAAAUUGGAUUUUAAAUAAAAAAAUUUAAAAACUAGAAAAGUUUUUUAGAAUCUAUUUUCUUUAGUUUCGAACAAACAAAAAGUUGACUUUCUUUUUGAAAUUUAACUAAAAAUUUAUUUAUUUAUUGUUCAAAACAAACCAUAUAACAAAAUAUACAGGGAGUGUAAUUUCAUAAAUUUUAAAAGUAAAAAACGAAAAAUAAAAUCGUUAACAAAUGAGGUUUUAGUUAUCUAUUCACUUCCUGUAAUACAUUAAAUUGUCAUUUUAAUCAGUCUAGUAAUUCAUUUACUUAUCAAUUGAGUAUUAAAAGUAGUAUAAUUGAUAGGGGUAUCUAUGUGUUAGAGGACACGAGUAGAUAGACAAAUCUAGACUUGAUAAUAUUAUCUCACACGACACACGUGUUGUCGUCCGUUCGAGUAGGGUGAGGUGAGGUAAGGAAUAAAAUAAUAAUAUUAUGUUUUUUAAUUAAAUAUUUAUUUAUUAAAUGAUGAAAUGGUUUUUUGUUUAACAAAUUUUUCUUAUCUAAUUUUAUUAUUGUUAAGACAUUUUUCACUAUUGAACCAUUACAUUUCUAACUGUUGAACCAUUUCUAUUCUUUUAUUUGAACCAACCCAUAUGAAAGGGCUCCUCCACUAUUCAUUCAUUUUGAGUAUGCAAAAAAAUACUUAUACAUUCCAAUUUAUUCUUUCCGUCCACCAUCUUUGUUUCAAAUAAACUUUUAUUCUGUUUUUCGAGCACAAUAAAAAGGUGUAUUAACAUUCGAUCGGGUUCCAACGCAUAUUUGAUCGAGACAAAUAAUAUAUGGAUUGUUUUAUCCUGGGGAUAUCGUAUCAAUUUUCAAACUGCUUACACACGAGACAAAGUAUCGAAGCUUCUUAAAGAGAGUGUGAUUCACAACUUAACCUUCUUUUAGGGCCUUUGUUUUGCAAAUUCUCCUUGAAGCUACUAGUUUAAUUCUACUUUUCAUUCUCGUGGAUGUACAGGAGUUGCUGAAUUUUGCCGUUAUAUUAUAUAUUCAAUUUGGGUAUGAAUGUAGUUGUUGUAACAUAUUGUCAUAGGGUAUUAAAAUGAAUCUAAUAAUGGGAAUAAUGGAUGUGAAGAGUAAACUAGAUUGAAUAAAGUAAGUCGUAAAUAGGUGUCUUAAUGAGAUGAAAUCCACCCAUAUUGAGUUGUAAAUUAGAGAUAUAAAAGCUUAAACACUUUAUUCAACCUAACUCAUGAUAACUUAUUCCAUUCCCAAUGACAAGUUAUAAAUAGAAAUUGGACUAAUAACAAAAUGUUGUUGCACUUAAUAACACCUACGACACCAUAGAAAAAAAAACCCCUUUUUUCCUUAAAGAUAAUACAUAAUAUCUAAAAGUUGCACACCAAUUUCUUCAUUAUAUUAAUUCAUCUAAACAUCGGAAAACGUCAAACUACCUUUCAUUAAUGAACCAUAAUGUAUCUAUCGUUUUUGAAUAUUUGUUUCCUCUAAAUUGACUUUUUAAAAAAACGUUUGGAGCAUAGAGUGAGUUAUUAUAAUACGUGGUUAUUAUGGUCUGUGUUUGGAGAGUGAGAAAUAGUGACAUAUGAGAAAUAAGAAAAAAAAUAGAAUAGUCAUAAUUUUAAUCCUAGAAUUAUGAUUACCACUUGAGUAAACAUGAAAAACGUCCACUCCACUUCUUUGGGGUCAAACGUCCCCUUAAAAUGUAUAUAAUUUUCUAUCUUUUACUACAUUAGGUAAAAUAAGACUCAAUUUGAUAUAUUUUUUUCAAAUUAAGCUUAUAAAUACUAUUUUAACUUUUAUUUUUUUUAUUCUUUGAACGUUUUAAAAAAUUAAGUUAGGGUUUAAAGUGUAUAUAUAAUAUUAAUUUUUUUUCAUUUAACUAAUAAAAAACUAUACUUUCAAAAUUUUGUACCAAACAACAAAUUUUAAAAGAAAAUUUGUGUUGAAAUGAGUUUAAAAGUUGUCAAAAAUAGAAAAAUUGAUAAAUUACUGUAAAAAAAAGUUUAAGUAUAAUAAAUUAUUUUUUAGUGAUUUUUUUCGUGUAAUAAGUUUUAUGUUUUUUUAUUAUUUUUUGAACGAUUAUUCAAAAAAAUAAUAUAUAUAUAUAUAUAUAUUGAGAAUUUUUUGUAAUUAUUAAAGUUUUUAAAGUAAAAGAGUUAUCCUUUUAACCCAAAUAUUUUGAGAAUUUUUUGUAAUUAUUCAUCGAUGUCGAAUAAAAUUAAUUUUCUCUUUCACGAAUUGUUUAAAUACUUUUAAAUUUUCCUUAAAAAAUAAAAAUAUGCAAAAUAAUAAGUAUGGCAAUAUUUUUAUAAUUAAAAUGUAUAUAAUACUUUUAAAACCUUAAUAUGAAUACUAUUCAUGUCUCUUAUUUUGUUGUUUCAUUUUUCUAGUUUUAGGAAAUUAAACUUUUAACCUCUUAAAAAGAAAAGAAAAGAAAAGAAAACCUAUUUUCUUUUCCAUUCAACUAUUUUUGAUAUCUACUAAACACUUGAAUUAUUAAGGAAUUAAUGAAAAAUAUUGUUUUGACAAAACAGUAAACACUUUUGGAAUUGUAUGCAACGAUAAGGCUGCUUCAUUGACAUGAUAUAAUAUCUGAAUGCACCAACACACUUGGGAAAAUAAUAUAUACUUUAUUCAUAAAAAAUAAAAUAGAUAACCAAAUCUUUUUAACUUUUUACUUUUCAUAUUUUUAAUUUUAGUGAUUCACAGGUCAAUAUGCCAUUAAGUACACUUUUCAAAUGCUAAUUAACCCAUUAAUUAAUUAGUAAACUAAAACACAACUAGUGCUACUUCUUUUAUUAUUUCCCUCUUAUUUUAAUUUACCACUCCCACUUCACUCAAUCCAAACAAAUUAUGCAUAACCAAUUUUCUUUUCCUCUCUUUCCUAACUACAUUUUUAAAUUUAUCAUAUUUUAUAAAUACUUUUAAUCGUUCUUCUUUUUCUUUUUCUAAUUUGUUUUAAAAUAAAAUAUUCACAUAUCAUAUCUACAUUUGAAAACAUAUAACUCAUUGACAAUUAGUUAUUUUUUUAAAAAAUUUAUUAGUUCACAAAGUAAGUGAUAAGUGUGACAAUUCAUUAAUUAAUACCAAAAAAAAUAAUGCAAAAUACUUUAAGAUUACCUAAAUAAUCCAAUUAGUUUUGAUUUUUUUUUAUAUAGAGAUCAACUAUCAUCUUUAAUUAGUUCUCCUUAAUCAAUUAUUAUUGUUGUUGAUUUAAUCGACUUUAUUUUUGUUGGUCGAGAUGCUCACUACCCCUACUUGUAUCAUUGCAAAUGUUAUUUGUUUUUAUUUAUUAAGGUGGUAAAGUGCAUGCCUCCCCCAUCUAAUUAAUAAGUAUAACAACUAGUUGUUAAAAAAAAAAAUACAUAAACAAAUUUAUUUUGUGAUAUUUUCAUGCAAUUCUAGUACUAAAAAAUAAUUAACCAAUAAACAAUCAUAUAGUGCUUUUUUUCUUUUUUCUAUUUUAAUAACCACGCGUCCGACUUAGUAGGAACAUUAUUCUUCCAUCACUAAACCAAUUAGCAAUAAAAAGAUCUAUCUUAUAAAGAGUGUAUGAUCUUUUGAUUUUUUGAAUGUGAAUUUGUCAUAAUUUGUUCUCAAGAUGUUGUUAGUUUGAGUUUUAUGAGUCAAAUUUUGUAUUAUUCAAUUAGUUUUGAGGUGUUGUUUAUGAAAACCCAAAAAGAAGGAAAGAGUGAGGCACAGAAUGUUUAGGCAACGAAUUAGAAGAAAAAAAGAUGCGGAUAUUCCAUGAAUAUUUGGAAAUAUAAUAAUAUUAAAUUAAAAAAGAGAUGAAAAGAAAAGAAAAGAAAUUCCACUUUAUGGUUCCAUUGGAGGAACUGAACUGGUUGUACGGAAGAGAAAUGUGGAAGUUGCGAAGAGACGUCCCAAUUCCCAAUUCCCAAUUCCCACGUUCGUAUAAUUAAAUAUCGUUUCCUUAUUGUUUCCCAUGUCAUUAUGCACCACAUAGAUAUUAGAUACCCUCUAAUAUAUAUAUAUAUUUCUUUUCUUUACUAUAAAACUAUCCAUUAACUUCUUUAAUUUCUAGGUUACAUGCUUCUAAGUUUUAUAACAUUUCCCUUGCCGUCCUAACAAUUAUUAUAAUCUUUUCUUUUUCUAAAAAAAAUAUUCAAAUAUAUUAUCAUGUGAGAAUGUUAUUUGCUAGUAACUUUGGACGGAUGAAAAGUGUUCUUACUCUUUUAAUCAAGUUACUACUAAACGAGAGAACAAGACGAUUAUUUUAAUCUACAAACACUACUAAGAAUAAUCAAUAAUAAAUAAUUAAUUCUUCUAGAGUCAUAAUUAAAUGGAGUUUUUUUUAUAAAGAAAAAAUAAAAAAUUGACAAACCAUUUACCUUUCGGCUAAUAUUUUGGGAGAAUGUUCUAAUUUUGACCAUUUACCCUGAUAAAAUCCAAUUUGAAAUGAAAUUACCCAUUACAUUCUAGAAAGUUUUAUAUAAUUUAAUUUACCAUGUAAAUAGUAAAUAAUUUAAAUGUUUUUACAUACUCUUCGGUGCAUUUUUGUACUAGAAAAUGUAUAAAUUAAUAUCAUAAGUUUGAUAAAUGUUUGUUUUAAAGAAAAAAAAAAAAGAGUGUUUCCCAAAGAGAAGAGAUUAAGACAAUAAUUUUGUGGGACUUGGGAGUGUAUUCGGUGGCCACAAAAAUGUUAAUGGGAAUGGUACGGACACCAAACCCUUACUUUGUUCUUUCAGAAAUUUUAAUUUUGUUUUACAUUAACUUUAAUCCUUCUUAUAAAAAUAAUUAUUCUUAGUAGAAUAAUACUUCAGAUUCCGUACAACAAAAUCAAUUAGGUAUGAAUUGAUUUUUUUAGUAUAAAAUCGAAAUCAUAGUUUGUAUUUUGAAAAAUAAAAGUAUUAGCUUUGGUCGAUUUUUUUAUAUAAAAAUCAAUCAAAAUUUAACGUAACCGAAACUUAUAUGUAUCCUUAAAAAUAGAUAUAUGUAUGCAUAUAUUUAGUACAUUCUUAAUGGUUGCAAGUACAUUUGUUGUUUAGAAAAAGAAUAAAGAAUAACUCUUCUCAAAACAUGCAUGCUUAAGUGAAGAAAAAUAAACAAAAAUGUCCAAUUUAAUAUAUAAAGAAAGAAAUUGACCCAAUUUUUAUUUAAAAAUAGAAAGAAAAAAAAAACCCACUUCCAAACAAAAUUGAAAGAAAAAUAAAAUGCAAAAAAAAAAGAAAGAAAGAAAACCAAGAACAAGAAUCCAUUAUUAUUAUUGUUUUUUACUAGACAUUGAUUUGAUUUGGUUAUUGGUUGUCUCCAAAACCAACAAACUACUUUUUAUCUUUAGUUGGAUUAGCUAUGAUACACUUAUGUUCGUGCAUUUCUUUUAACUAUAUACAAAUCGUAAACAAAAUAUUAACUUUUUUUAAUGAAAAAAUUCACUACGUAAUAACCUUAACUUAGUUUUAAUUAAACAUUUGAAUGAAGUAAGUAAUUUUUGUUUUGUUAAUCCUCCGUAUAUAUGCGUUAAUUUAAUUCUCUAUAAAGUUAUUAAUAAGGGGUAGGGUACUACUCUAAUUGUGACAAUCUCCUACCUAUAUUUGGUCCCAAUGGGUGCUUCUUUUUGGAGAAAUUAAAGUGUUGUUUGGAGUAGUGAAAUAUAUUAGUGUGUAAUGGGAUUAGAUAUAAAGUACUUUAAAUUGGGAACUCAUAUUUCAAUUCUUCAAAGACCUUCUUGAUUCCCAGAGAGACUACUUUAGACACUAUUUCUAUCAAUCCAUCUAUCAAUCUAUCUACACUUACAAUCGUGAAAGAGUAUGGGAACGCAUUAAUAUUACAUCUUUUUUCUUUCAAGGAAGAGUGGAUGAUCUCUAAAGUUUUCAAAUAAUUUUAAACCACAUCUCACACCAACACCGAAAGUUGUAAACUUCUAAAACAUACAGCGUAAGUAGUGACAGAUCCAAAAGUUUUGUUGACGAUAACUUUAUAUAAAGAAAUAAAAAACUAAAAAGAGUUAAACUUAAACAUAGGUCUAGAGAGACUAGAAAACAAAUUUAUAUUAUACUAGCUAAGGAGCUUUGAUAUUAUGAUAAUUUGUAAUAUAUAUAUAUAUAGUUCAUCACCUCCUACUCUUUCUAACUCCUUGAGCCAAAAAAAAAUCGAAUAUAAUGUCGCUAUUGAAUUGAAAAAAAAAUCUCAUUGCUACCUCAAAUCUUAUUUUAUAGUAUACAAAUUGAAAAAGAAAAAAACUACGAAACAAUAUUAUCGCAACAAAAUCAAGCUGAACUUUAUUAGAAUACACGUUAAAAUUGGCUUACUCUGCAAGGUUCUCACUUUCUCUUAUCCAUUACAUUUGAAUUUGUUAGUAUUAAAUAUUAGAGAAAAUAUCAACAAAUUCAUUCUCAUAUUUUAAACGACGUUCAUUUAAACCUAGUUUGAAAAAUAUCAAACAAAAUAUAUAGUCUUGAAUUAAACUUCUACGUUACUAUAAAUUUAUACCAUAUCAUUAAUUUGAGAUUUAAAUAAUUAUACAACUCUAAAAUAUAUUGAUAUAAAUUUGUAUAUUAAUAGUAUAUAGGUAUGUUUCAACCAUCUAAUAAUCACUUUCAUCUUGAUUGAGUUGUGGUGCAAUUAUUUCUUCUAUUGAGAUAAAUGUUGGAAUAUAUAUACAUAUUGGAAAAUAAUAAUCACUUUCGAGUACCCAAAAUUAUCUCUAACUUCUAAAAAUUAAGUUUAUAUUGACUUAGUAAAUUAGACUUACUUUUACUUUUGAUUUCUUUUUAAAUUCAAAGUGUCUCAAACUAGUAUAGUACAUAGUUUAAACUAAAUUAGUGUCAUGAUAAAAUCCAAAAUUACGUAGAGAAAGAAGUGAUAUUUAAUACAUUUUUAUCAACUCGAUUAUACGUUGGGAUGGACAAUGAAAUGAAGACUAAACUUGGGAGGGAUAAAAGGGUUGGGGUGUAUUUCUAUCCCAUGUUUGAUAUCUAUUUACUUAAUGGUAAAUUGAAUUUCAUCUACUUUAUGCAUUUAGACGAGUGUCCAUUUAAAAUGGCACUCAAGCAAUAAUAUUAUCUUUACUUUUGUUCAUAUCCUUUGCCUUAAAAGAUUACGCAAUAUAUAUGAUAUUGAACUAAUUGCUUGAUUGCAUGUUUAAUCUUUCUAGAUUUUUGUGGGUAGUUGGGCUUGCUAAUUGCUAUACUAAAGUUCUAGUCAAAUACAACAAUAAUAAUAUCAUUGAAAUUCAACACAAGCAACUUCAAUUAACUUUUAAUUCGAAAACAAGCACGCCACUUAGUCUUCCCUUCUGAUUUUGACACAUUUCUAGACUUAGUAGUUAAACGUGUACUAAUACUUACAUCACUAUAAUGCUUAACAUAAUGGUAGCAUUUGAGUUUAUGAGAGAUUAAUCGAGAAUGCAUCCAAACGAGAGAGACAACCAUAAGAUAUAACAACUAGUUAUACCUGAAAUGUGUAUUUUUCUUUUUAAUGCUCAUUUAUAAGAAUUUCAAAAUUACGAUUGUUGUUAUAAUGACACUCUUACUUUUUUUUAAUUUCAUAAAUUACUUUUUUAUAUAUCUAAAGUUUUACUAUUAAACUUUUUAGAAAAUUCCAAUUUAUACAUUUAAAUUUUGAAUUUUGUAUCCAUUUAAACGAUUUAAACUAAUAAUUAUUGUAACAAAAAAUUAUUUUUGUCCGAAAAAAUAAUAAUUGUAAUGUACAAUCAAAUCCUCAAUUUGUUUUAUUUAAAAAGACAAAUCCCCACAAUUAAAGAAUGGUUACAAAAUUAUUAAAAACUUUCACAACUUUAUGAGAAAACAUACUGACCAUUCAAAAACAAUUGGUUUAACAUUACAAUCGCAGUGGCGUCCAAUUUUCGCCCCAUAAAUGAAGCUUUUAGAAAAUUAUACCAAUAAAAUGGUGACACCCUCCAACUUUAUAACUCUCUCUUCUCCUUUUCAAUUUUGCUCCAUACCCAUUUAAGAUUUUUUUAAAAUUAUUUCAAAUCACAAAAUUACUAAAAAUAUUUAUAAAUAUCAAAGAUAAACGAUGAUAGAUAGAUUUAUUUUAAUAAUAUAAUUAUCCAAAUCUAGUUCAUCAUUGUAAUUGGUUAAACAAUAAUAAUAAUUUAUUUCAAAAGAAUGUUGCUUACAACAAUGAUGUAUCAAAUACACAAAAAUCUCAAAGUCUAUUACGACAUCAUUGUCAAUAGUAGCAUCCAAAUAUGGAUGUAUAAAGAGAAAGAAUCCUUUCUAAUAACACUGGAGAAUAGAAGAAUGGUGGUUGCGUUGAAGUUUGAAGCUAUGAAAGCUAAGGAAGAUUGGAAUGGAGGGUAUGGUUAUUUUGUAUAAGGUAAGAUAGAGAGUUAAUAAGCAUGAAGAUGACAGAGAGAAAAGGCCCACUUCUGGCUGUGAACAGCCUAAUGUGUUUGUUGGUUGGGGCAAGUGGGGAACUCAUAACAGAUUUCCAAUUCCCUCUUAAAUUGACCUUUUUUAUUUCUCUAUCUCUUAAGUAAUUAAACUGUGUUUUCUCAAAGAUUGAUUUUAAAUGUGACUUUCUCAUGGUAGCUCCUCUGUUGCUGUUCGUUAGUUCGUGUUGAUAGAAAAUGUGUCCCCUUUUCUCACCUCAAUUUUUCUCCUUUUCACACUUACACUUCUUUGUUUUUCUAACCUCGUGUUUGAAUCUCCCUACCAUUUUUCUCUGCUUUUAGUACCAUUAUUCACUCUACUUUUACUUUUCACUAUCGAAGUUUGAACAAUACACGAUGUUAACUAGGCGAGGGGAGAAGGGUUUGGCCACCCGAGUGGAAUUAAUAAGUUUAUGUUGGAGUUGUUAAGUUUGUGUUUGAGUACAGAAUUGUAAGUUGGAGUUUUUCAAUAAAUAUAAAACAUAGAUUAAGAUAAGAAAUUUUGAAGUUUUAGAUAAAAGGUAGAAAAUAGAGAUCAAUGAUAUGAUUGUGUUUCUUGUUAAAGGUGAAAAGUACAAGAAAAAGAGAAAGAAAAAUGACGGAUGUGUUUGGUAAAGAAUACGAAAAACAAAAGUUUGAAGAUAAUGAAUCUAAUGAAAUGUUAAAAAAAGUUGAUUUUAGUUAAAGAAAUGUUUAGAUGGGUUUUGUAUUAGAUAUUUAUAAACCAUAAAAUUAGUUUUACUUUUCCAAUAAGAUUUAGUGGACAUUAAGUUAAUAUUAUUUUAUUCAUGAAUGUAAUCUAUGUUUAAAAAAUUAAUUAAAUUGUAAUUUUAGUUCUUAUUGUUAAGAGAAAAUUGAAGUUUAGUCUAUAGUUUGAUAAAACCUCAUAUUCUUAUUAUUUGACAGCUUUGUUCCUAAAUAGUCUAUAUGAAUAAACUAUUUUCUACCAUUAUAUCAAAUCAAAAAUACUAAAUUCUACUUUCUUGUUUUUUAAUCUUUGGGAACUAAAUUUGUAAUUUAAACUAAAAAUUUAUUUAAUUAUUAUUUUAUACUAUUGUAUAAUUUAAAUACAUUAAGUAUUUUUUAAAAAUGAAUUGAGUUUAUAACAUGAAACAUGUAUUUCUAAAUUUCUUUUAUAUGUUUUUAAUAUAAUUUUGUUUUUCAAAGUGUAAAAUUCAAAUUUUGGAUACAACCAAAACAUCAAAAAAAGUUUUUUUUCAUAAUUUGCAAUGUUUGGAUUACAUAAUCCAAAAAACAGUUUUCAAAAACAUAAUUUGGAUUGUUCAUCAAACGCCUAAAUUUAAUGAAUCUGAAAAUAUAAAACAAAAAUAUGAUUUUCUACCAAACAGACCCAAAGUUAUUCAAUGUGCAACCUUAAUAGUGUUUACUAUUGAAGUUGAGUUAUUUACACCAAUUUAAGAAGUCGGUGGACCAAACGGGCAAAGAUGUUUGACCCACUAACUUCAUACUUCAAUCUUUAAUAACAAAACUUCAGUGCACUUUUACCGAUCUCUCUCUCUGCCACUAUUAUUUUUUAAAGACUUCAAAACUCAACUUAACACUCCAAUCAAUUUCUUAAUCAAAAGAUUGAAACGCUCGUUCGUAAAAAUAUAAGGAUUGAAAUAACAGGGACAAAAAUGAACAAAAGUUUAAAAUAUGAACCAACUCAUUCGUAAAAAUAUAAGGAUUGAAAUAACAAGGACAAGAACGAACAAAAGUUUAAAAUAGGAACCUUUUGAAAGUUAGAAAAUAUCUAGAAUUGAAGCAAAAAGUAUUUGAACAUUUUUCAAACCAGAAUUAAUUCCCUUCCUUGAGAAGGAAGUCUUUUGCCGUUUUUGUUUAGAUGGAGACAAAGUUGAAAAGAAGAGCCUUAUACUGUAUAGACUUGAAAGUUAUUAAAAUGAAGUUGUAUAUUUAGGCAGAUGGGCCAAAUUUACUGUGUCAUUUUCAUUAUUAUUGGACAUGUGAAACUAAACUAAACUACUUUGGGCUUCUCUCCAUUCUAACCUAACACCAAGGGAAACUUCUUCUUUCCUACAAGCUGUUCUUGCAACUUAAGAAGGAAGUCUUUCCGUCUUCUGUUUUUACAGUCCAGAAUAAGGUCCUAUACAUAUUAAUAAAACAACAUACGUUCUCAACUUUAGACACAUGACCUAAAAAAAUUAAGAUAUAAACAGUGAGUACAGUUUUGACAUGAAAAAACUAAAUUCAAGACUAAGUUUUCAAGAAAUGAUGUUUUGAUUGUUGGGGAAGAAUGAAAUUUCUUAUUAUUAUACAAAGACAAGAAAGAAUAAAGCACUUCCAAAAGAUCCUAUGAUUAUGAAUGAUCUACUUUUGAGCUAUGACAAAGAAUGCUCCUUCGGUACCCACACAAGUUAUCCCUAAUAACUACUUUCUUUUCUGAUGUCUAUUUGGGAAUACUGUUUUUCACAAAACAAACUUUGAAAAAACAUUCUUUUUCCUCCAAAUCAUUGCAUCACCUCCAAAGGAGGAUUACAUUCAAAUGUACAUUCAAAAGGGCUGGCUGUUGUUUCUUCUUCAUCUUUGUUUUGUUCUUUUUAGUGUUGGUAUCCUUUGUCAAAGUCAGCUGACGCCAGGUUGCAACAAUGGGAAGAAGGUCCAGUUGUUACCUGGACUAGCUUCCUUCACACCCACUUUCUCAUUGGCCCACCAUUCUGCACCGAUGGAGGCUGUGUUGUGUAUUUCUCCUUUAGUUUGGUCAAAGUUGAACUCUUUGAAUGAACCAAGAGUUACAGCUCGCUGAUUUUGGUAGCAUUGAUCAUCCUCUCCUGGAGUUUUUUCUGGUGCUGCGGAAGUCUUGAUGUCAAAGAACUCGCAAGUUUCAGCUUCUCUGGAUGAUUCUUUGUUUUCGUUUUGAUUGCUUGUGCUUGUUUGCUUCGGAGACUCAGAUUCAGUUCUAAUGGAUGUCAAUGACUUAUUUGCAAGACAGCGUGCAACAUCUUCACCAGUUAACUCAAAUGACACCCUAUGAUUUGUCACAUCAUUUUGGCAUCCAGUUUCUGAGUUGGCAAGAGAAGCCACCUCAGAUAUUUGGUUGUCCAACAAUGGACUAUCUUGCAAGCCAUGGCCCAGACCAUCAGGCGUCAAGGUUCCAGAACCCAAUCUUGAAUCUUGCCUCAUACCAUUUGGGGUAACAGAUCCAGAUCCCAAUCUAGAACCCAUUCCCAUACCAUCAGGAGUCAAAGUUCCUGAACCUAACCUAGAACAUAAACCGGUACCAUCUGGAGUCAAAGAUCCAGAACCCAUUCUUGAGAUCCAUUUGCGAGUUGUAAAAUGUUCAAGACCCAAGAGCUUCGGUGCAUCUGCCAUGCGGAACUCAAGAAUGGGGUGUUUAUCAGGAAAAGGAGAAGAUGUACCAGAGUUUGAAAUUACUGAUCCAGGUGAUAUAAGAUGAGCACCAGGGCUUCCUGGGUAGGGUUGAUAAGGCUGGAAAUCACAGUGUGAUAGCGUGAACUUUUGGUUAGUCCCAAAACUUUUAUUAGUAUGGCUUAGAGAAGAUGUCAGCAAUUUAGCAAAUGGAACUUCAGGAGAUGAGGGUGUAGUCAGUUGAACAGACUCAGGAGGAGGAGUAAUAGGAGCGGUUGAUGGUUCAGUGGUGAAGGCAGAAAAAACUGGAGGUGAGACCAACUGAGUGUCAUAUGUAUAAGGGCCUAUUGCAAAAAUGGAAGCAGGUCCAUUUGGGGAGUAGUUAUUGACUGAAAGAGCAGUUAAGGAUAGUAAUCCAGCAGGAGAUUGAGUAUUUGAUGUAGGUUCGGACUGGAGGAAAGAUGCAGGAGAAGAUGGAGGGGCAAUGAAAGGUAAUACCAUGGUGGUUGAAGGUGUUCGAUGCUCAACAGCAGGGGCAACGGCUCCUGGUACUGCAGGUUCAGGAACUAGUACAGCAUGACCUAUACGUUUAUUGCUUUUCUGUGAACCAAUGCCAAAGCACCAGUACAGACUCCAGCAGCUACCCCAUCUUCGUUUCUGUAGUUAAGACAACAAGAAAAUGUAAAUGAAAAGAUCAACAGGAAACAGAACAGAGACUUCAAUCUAGCUAAAACAGAAUCAUUAUUCAAGCCAUCAGAGCAGUACUAAUAACAACUAUUCAGAAGUCUAAGAACUUCAGCAGGUAAAACCUCCGGUAAGAAGCUCAUAAUCAUCGACUAUGUCGUGUUAACAACAAAACAUUACGUUACUUCCUCACCUCUCAUGUCAGGCAAUAGAGAAUAGACAGAACGGAAGAGAGUGGGAACAGAAAACCCUUCUUCAUCAAUUCAAAAUCCAAACUUUUAAUGUUUCUUGGCUAAAUUGGUUAGUAAACAAUUCAUGUUGUGUUCAUAUGCUAAAAAAAACCAAACGGUUUCAGAAAUUUUUGCAUAAAGCGGUAAACAGAGUUGAAAGUUUUACAAGUGAAAGCUAACUACCGUACGGCAUCUCAGUUUUGAGCCACCCGUUGAGGUCGAUGAUCGAUCUAUUUAAAGAGGUCGUAAGAUUAAGACUAAAGAUUUUGGCAGUCAAUUGCUCUGUGAUAAGAGCGUAUGAUAGCUCAAGCGGAACACCUUCAGGAGCAUAGAAUCUUCCUCUAAAGAGACGCAAAUUUUUGUCUGUCCCCAUCAAAGGAAUCCUCAACCCAGACCAAACUCAACCUUAAGAGAAGAAAACUAAAGCCCAAAAGAGCCGAAUAAAUUGACACACUGUACAGCGCUACAAGAUCCAUUAUCAAAAACAACUAAUUCAACAAAUCUGAUGACAAGUCCAUAAGAUCGCUAACUAAAUUGAUUCAAGUCCCACUGUAUGAGAAAUCUUACACCGAAUGAAUCCAAGUUCCGAAGGAAGUUAUUGCACAGAAUCGAGCAAAUCGCACUUGUAAUUAAUUACCGAACAACCUUAUGUUCCCCUUCCUUUCUGUUCUAAAAGCAGAUUAAUCGAAACUUUUCAAGUUGCUUUAUCUUCAACCGUUUACCAGCUAGACUAAUUAAGCAACAACUUUUUGUGAAAUUAAGAUUCAACGUCUUCACAAAAGCGCAACACCAAAAAAAAAAAAAAAAAAAAAACACCACCAACCGAAGCAGAAAGUACCAAAUCAAAGCCUUAGAAUCAAGAAACAAAAACGCGUAACCAACACGGUUUUCUCAAAUUAAAAAUUAAAAAAAAAAAUCGUUUAGAUCAUCAACCUUGAUGAGAUUUUCCUCAUCUAAACUGAAAACAGCAAACCAACACCGAGAUCAAAAACUCCAUUUCUCAAUCAAAUUACCGCACUUUUUUCUCAGUUCCAAAUAAAAAUCAAACCAGAAAACAAAUAAAGAAAAAAAAAUAAACGUACCGGAGGUGUGGUAGGCUGAACUCGAGCCUCAGCAGAAACGAUGGCAGUAGCGGCAGCAUUAACCGUAUCGACGCUGUUGUUGAUACUUGCCAUCCCCAGUUUCUUCGAAUCCAGAGAGCUCGGCCGGCGGAGUUCUUAACAAGGUCGCCGUGAUUUGGGAUCAAUCGAGGGCGGUAAGUGGCCGGGAAAAUCAAUUAGUAUGGAGUGAGAUUUGACAGGCAAAAGAAGGAAGAGAGAAGACUUUUGGAUUUGAUCUAAGAAAUGAAAAACUCAGACGAAGAAAGAGAGAGAUUGAAUUUUCUCAUUUUAUAUAUUUCCAAAUAAAUAAACAAAAUGAAAUUAUAAAUUAGGAAAUGUAAUAAAAAUGAAGAGAAAAAAGAAAAGAAAAAAAAAGAAAAAAAAGAAAGUCUUGUUGGUUGGUUGGCUCCUCUAAGGACUUAUCCUGUGGUUUUCCAAAAAAAAUUAGCACAUUUUUAUCAAAUUUUGAUAGGAUAAACUUAUUGGGACCCACUUUAAUAUUCAUAAAUCAUAAUUUUUAAUAUUAAUAGUAAUGUCCAUGAUAACUCUAUAAUUGCUAUUCUUUUCAUUAACCUAAAACUAAAUAAAUAAAUAAAACUUUGCCAAAUCUAUAUUCCUCUAAUAUAAUUAUAUACAUAUAUGCGUGUGUGUGUGUUAUUUCUUUGAGAAAAACGUGAAAAAUGGUAGAAUUAUUCAAAUAUAUUUACACCUAAUGGUAAUAGUUUUUUACCAAACAAAUUCUUUUAACGAUUUUAAGUUAUUUACUAAUUCAAAUUAUUUCAUUGUAGUUUUGGAGACUUACCAUAAAAUUAUAUAUGUUUUGAAAUUAGUUAGAUCUUAAAAACCUUCAAGUUUGACAAGGACAUCACUUCAAAAAAAAUUACAUGGAGGCAAAAGUUGGUAUUUGUUUAAAAGAAAUAAAAAUUAUAAAUUGUUUUCUUUUUUCUAGACAAAGCAACUCAAAAAUAGCUAAUUGAAAAACUAAUCUCACCUCCUUAUUGAAGACAAGAAAGAAAAUACAAAUAGAAAGACUAUCUUUUUGUAAAAACGAACAACUCCAAGAGAAUGUCAAGGCUACUAUCGUUUUAAGGAUGUAAUAAAAAUUGAAGUUUUAACAAAGUUGGGUAGAAAAAGAAUACUCUCGAACAAAAAUCGGUAAGAAGUUAGGUUAUACAAGCUAGCAUGCAAAAUACCUUUUGUGUUUUCAAAUUAGGGUUGAGUUUUAAUGCAACUAGUCAUCACUUACUUCAUUCUUCAUCUUUGUUUCCAUAUCCUACUCUUCACCGUAGACAUGUGUGGAAAGCAAGAAAAAUGAGAUAUGGAAACAACAAGGAAUUAUUCCAAUUGCAAGUAAAUUUAUGAACUAAAAUACUAUUUUUCUAAAUUUUAGUCAAUAUAUGUUGAUAAUUUUUAUCAAAAUUAGCUAGAAAAUAAAAUACUUUCAUGCAAUAAAAGUAAAUAUAUGAUAGAGUAAAAUACUAAUAACUAAAAACAAAAUUAAGAAUCAAUUAAUGAACAUUUCAAAAUAACAAAGGACAAAAAUGAAAAUAUUAACUCCAAAUAUUUGGAUUUUUUUUUUUAUAAAAAAACCCCUUGAACUAAGUACGGAAUUAGAAAUGAUUUGAGAAUGAGGGUGGGUUUUGCAAUUUUAGAAAAUAUAAAGUUUGUUAGUGAUAUUUCAAUGUACCCAUAAUUUCCGAUAGUGUUGUCGAAAAAAAAAAGGAAAGAAUUGUUUUCAAAUUGAUAUAAUUAAUUUAUAUCACACCCUCACAUCAUUAUUUGUUGACCCACAUUAUAAAUUUUUAUUCCUUUUUAUCCGUAUAAGUAUUUUUUUAAUUUGAAAACAUUCAUAAAAAUUUAUAAAAAGAAAAAAUAAAUAAGAAAAUAGAAUUUAUAAGUAAAAAAAGAAAAAGAAUUGAAUAUUAGAAAAUGUAGUUGGAAAUUAGAGAAGUAGAAGUGGGGUUGAGUAUAGAAGAAAUUACAGAAAGUGCCACUGAGGAAGGAAUAAGUGCAAAAGGGGUUGGCUUUAAAUGCGUGUCCCCAACAAUAAAAUGAAGUGCGUGAGAAACUCGUGAGUUCCUUGUGCUUUCAUUUAUGCUAUUUGUACUCCCCGGCACGUGACCCAUGUGACUCUCAUUCUGUGGGCCAUCCCAUCUCCCCCCAUCUAAUUUAAUGCUUCUCAUCUAACUAAUCAUACCCUCUUCAAAUCCUACCAUCUUUUUGGCUACAACACCAUACUUAACACUAACUAUGACUCAUCAUCCCUUCAUCCUAGUUGAUUUUUCGAUUAAAUUACUACUAAAUUGAUUAUAGUAGGUUUAGUAGCGUUUAAAUUGACCUCGGUCAUCAAUGAAUAAAUGUCAUUCGGUUUAAUAGUAAAAAAAACUAAAAAAAAAAUCUCAAUUUCAAACUUUUUCAAAUCUAUAUCGACUGAUCCAUCUCAUUCUUCAACAAAUCGACUUUGGUUUGGUCUAUUGACUUGAUAUUUUUUUUGUCUAUCAUGCUGACUCGAGCUAAUAGCAUGGUUUUAAAUAUCAAACUUUUGAGAUUUUAUGAAAUUUUGAGGUACAUUUUUUAAAAAAUUAUAAAAACAAAAAUAGUUUUAAAAUAAGCUAUUAUUUAUAUUAGUGUUGUAUUGAUAUUUAUUCUUUGAGUUUGAUAGAUUUUUUUAUGAUGUAAUGAAAAUACAAAUUCAACUUUCAUAUAUAUCGAGAUCGUAUAUAUAAGAGCAUGGAAAUGUCAAUGAAAAUAUUGAUGGAAACUUAAUGACAUAACUUAAUUAUUUGUAGUGAUGAUGAGUAUAAAUUGUAAACUAUAAGCGAGGCGUUAAUUAUAAAUUUAUAAUAAUGCCCUCUAAAUGAAGUAGGUGUGAAACAUGAUUAGCAUAAGAAUAUUAGUUUUAAAAAUGAUGGGAUGCUUUUAUUUGUUCCGUGCUUAGGUUGAUAUUAAUCUAAUUAUUUAAAGAAUGAAAAACAUAAAACAAAUCUAUUAGAAUUUAAGUGUCGUUCAAACCAUUGAGUUGAUUAUUGAAGUUAAUGGUUACAACAGUAAGUAUUUUGUUGGAGUGGGUUGCUUGAAUUUUAGACUACAUUGUUUUUUAGUCUAAAACUUAAUAGUUUGUAUUUUCAUUUUGGAUUCAAACUAGUAUAUAAAAUAGUAAACAUAAAAGGAUAAAAAAAUUAUAAACAUUGUAAUAAAUGUAAAGAUAAAAGGAUAAAAGUAUGAUAAAAUCAAGCAUAUCCAGAACAACGGCGUCUAACUUAGGCUUUCAGGUGAUAGUUGAUCCCUAAGCUUUGUGCAGUGCUUUCUUUUAGAAUAGCAAAUAGGCGGUCCUUUUAAUUGUAUUUCAAUUUAACUUUUUAUUCCAAUGAUUUCUAAUUUCUGGAUUGAUUUCAUUGAUUUUUUUUCUUUAAAAUUUCAAUAACCUUGUUGUCUCUUUAGAAUGUAAGAAAAAAGUUACGCAAUUUGUCUCUUCAUUAAACCAUACAAUAAUGCACAUAGAAUGAUCAACACAGUCAUGAAGCAGCAAUAAGGGGCAGAAAGGCUUGAGCAAGCGGUCAUACUCCAAUCCAAUCAAAAGCUUGUGGGACUUUAGAAGUGAAAUAGGUGGGUAACUUUCCAAAUAUGUUUUUGGGUAGUACAGUUCAUGAUGAAAGAAAAUAAUUUGUUUUAAAAAUAUCAUCAAACCAUGUUGUGUUUCAAAUUCUCAAUUAAUUUUACUUUUAUAAAUUUACAAACUGUUUUACCAACACUCUUACCCUAAAAACUUCAAAAAAAUUCCAUUUCUAACCCAUUAUUUUUUCCAAAAUCAAAAAAAGAAGAAAGAAUUACAAAGAGAUGCAAAAAAAUAAAAUAAAAAGAAUAAUAAUGAUGAUUGAUGAGAGACGAGUAGUGCACGUGAUGGAGUGCAGGAAAGCAAUGGAAUGAGGUGCAAGCCAACGUAAAUAAAAGCAAUUAGAAGGGUAAGUAUGAGUGAAUGAGAUGAAGUCUUUAUAUAAUAUAUAUAUAUAUAUAUAUAAUAAUAACUUUAAUAAGGAAUUAAUUAAUAUAUUAUUAUGAUUUUUUACUUGGAAGCAUAACCCCCUUUUCCUCCCCCCCAAGUAGUGCACGUGUGCACAUCCACUUGCUUUCAUAUUAUGGGUUUUCGGUGUCAACAAAGAAAGUGACUUUUUUCUUUUUUUAUUUAGAUUUCAUUUAUUUUAUUAUUUCCUUUUCUUUUUUUUUUCUCUCUCUUUUUCUUUUCUUUUUUUUUUUUAAUUUUUUCUCUCUCAAAGAUUAAGCUUGCACGAAUGGUUCUCUCAUACCCAUUAUUCUGUUACUUUAUGAUGAUGAUAUCUCAACCUCUUCUUUGGCCUCAUUUACUAAAAGAAAAGAAAAAAAUAAUACCCUUUUCAUUGACACCUAACUUUUUAACAUUUGAGAUGCAAAUAUCACCCCCCUUUUUUUUUCCUCUCCUUUUUUAAUUUUAGCUACUUCACCUUUUUAACCUUUAUUUUUGUGUUUUGGUUAUUCUUGACCUACUUUUUCCUUUCAUCUAAUUUCUCAUUGCCUUUUAUUUUCUCCAACAUUUUCUUCCUCCAGACUUCACAUGUUUCACUUUUUAACAUCAAUAAACACCCCUUAUAUAUGUAGUUUGAAUUUAAGUGCCUAGCUACCUCUAUACCCUUUUUUUUUUGCUCUAGCCUUUUUUUAUAUAUAUAUCAAAUUUAUUGUUGAUCAUCAUAAAGUUUGGAUUGUCCUUUGUCUCAAAAUAUAUUGAUUUUAGAGAUGUUUGGGUUCUCCUGAAUGUGCACGAAAAACAUUUAAGUAUAUUAUCUAGGUUAUUGUUCUUAUUAUGUCUAAGUGAAUUAACUACGAGAAUAGUUUGUCUUAGGAUAUGGGGUGAUUUUGGACUAUGAAAAUUAUCAAACAAGGAAUUCACCUUAGGAUGCAAGAUGUGCAUGAAACAAGAGGCACAACUUAAGGAGUAUGUGAGGCGGUUCGAAGGGAGAUGUCAACUAGCCCUAACGUGAUCCUUGUGCAAGCUAGAUUUAACCUUCUAAAGUUCUAUUUGUAAAUGAAUUGAAGAAACAACACUAGGUUUAACUCCACUGUAUAUAUAGAAUGUGAUAACUUCAUAUUAGUCAAAUUUAAGUUCUUUCCUAAAAAUUUGGUUUGAUUGGUCUUGUGCUAAAAACUAACUUAAACAUUGGAGAGUUUGUGACAUGCCAUAUUAAGAUGUGUUGAGUUUUUUAGGCAAAAUAUUAAAUAUGUAGUUGUUUUAUAUUGGUUAUUUUGGAGAAAUGUGGGUAACUCCAAACCUAUAAAAAGAGCUCACUUUCUUUGUUUGCAAAUGACUCAGUUAGAAACACUUUAAACUUCAGUGUGCUAACUCUAAUUAAAUUUCCUUUGUAUUCUCUAGUUGGAAAGUGGGUAAAAGGUGAGAGUGGCAAAAAAAUUUCAGCGAGUGUUCUUAUAAUUGGGGCUAGGAGAGAGAAAAUCAUUAUUUGUGAUUGUAACAAUUUUUUUAACCGAGUGAAUUUCUUGAUUUUAUGUCCAAGUUGGGAGUUUCCCAAGUAAAUUAAUGUAUUUUCAGUUUUUAUUGCUUUAUUUAAUAUAUUUGUUAUUUAUGUGUAUGCUCCUACUGCAUAAUUGGGAGGUUUUGUCCCAACGGGAUGUUAUCCUAAUUGUCUUUGUAUGUAACAUGAUCUUCUUCGAAAUACAAAUUUAUUGUUAGUAGCAUGUGGAGAUUUGAUGAGUUUCUUUGAUUGUAUUUUGCUAUCAACGCGAAUUAUUUGUGUAAUAACAAAAGUACAACAUGAAAGGUAACUUGGAACUUGUAUUUUACAUAUAGGGACAAAAAAACUGAUCACCUAGUAAUCUUAGUUAAAAGACACAUAUAAGAUAGCUUUCUCAUCUCUAGCUUAUAUAAUCUAUGAAUGAGAUUAUCUUUUAAUUUCUUCCUAACUUGUUUAAUUCUAUAGGAAUUUUAAUUACUUUAUCAAAUGUCUCUUUCAUAAAAGAGUGAUUAUGAAGAUAUAUAUUCUCUAUACAAGAAAAAAGCUUCCAGUAAUCUAUCACAUCAUAAAACACCAUACACCCUUGAAUAGACUAAUUAUACUUCAUUAAGAAAAGCUCUUAUCACAUAAAAGGAAAAUAUAAUAAGAUGGUAAAAAAGAAACAACGUUGAUAGAGACCCACAAAAAUAAAAACUAAACGAGACAACCUAUUACAUUGCAUGAUCGAAGAAUCAUUCAAAAGUAUAUAAAAAUUGAAGAAGAGAUAACGUCAAAAAAUUAAGACGACAUGUGUAGGAAACCUUCCAAGAUCAUAAGCAGUUAACUCAAGAGUCAUCAAUAUGAUAAAUUCUAUGACAGAUAUUGGAUAUCUGCUUUUUUAUUGAAAAGAUUAACAAUUUUCAAACAACGUAUUUGAUAAUACGAAUUCAAAAUUGGUGGGAGGGGCAUAAAAAGUGUAAAAUUGUAAAUUGGGUAGAAACACAGUAGGGUGAUAUUUAAAAAAUGAAAAUGUGCAUAAUAAAGAUAGAGAAAAUGAUGAUGAUGAAUAGGUAUGAAAGUAGAUUGUGGUAAUGAAUGAAAAAGUAGGGAAUAAUUAGUGGUGAUACCUUUAGCCUUUUACCAAUGGCCACACGUGUGACAAGUUAAAUUUUUUUUAUUUAAUUGUAGGCUUAAAAGAGAAAAAAAGAAAGGGCAAUUAACUCUCUUAAAAGGGACCCAGCCAAGAGUGUGGAACAAUUGGAUAUUUCUUUCUUCACAAAAAACUGACCCCUCUUUAUGGGGUGGCUUAGUGUAGUUUUGGACCCACAUUGCAAAAGCUAAACCAGCAUAUCACAUGUUUGAGUUAUCAACUAGGUGGUGGCUGACCUAUAUUUUUUAAAAGUCACAUCUAUUAUAUUAUAUUAUGUUAUAUUAUAUUAUUCUUUCCUUUUCUUUCUUCUAUCUAAUAUGCUUUACUCAUUUUACCAUUAUUUCAACAUUAUCAACUCUACUAAUCAUCACCCUUACAUUCUAACUUUUAUUUCACUCAAGAUCUUAUAUUAAAUUUGAGAGAAGAUAAUAUAUUGAUUACAAUGCAUGGAAUUUCUCUCAUUUUCUUAAAUAGAAAAUUUAGUUUGAUGACUAUCACAUAAUAUAUAUUGUUAAGAUGAAUGUAAUUUAAUUGGAAUAAAAUUUAUAGUUUAUUUACCAUUUUUCAAGAUCAAAUGUUAUGGUUUAAAAUAAAAAGAGAAACAAUUGGGUACAAUUUUUGUUUUUCUUUCAUUAAUUAAAUUAAGAAGAAAUGAAAUUAUAAAGAAUAUAAGAAAGGCAAAAACCAAAAAAGAAAUAGAAUAAUAUUUGAACAUAAAAAAACUAAAAGAGAAAGAAUGUGAAUGGAAGUAAAAAAAAAAAAAAAAAAAAAGAGAUGUAGAAAGGUAUAGAUGCAUGUAUAAGGCUGCAUUUUUAGCGCUACAUAUAGAGAGGUUUGGUUUAGUGUCUUCACUUUAUACCUUCAAUUAUUUCCUUUUCUUUUUUUUUUUUCUUUUUUAACUCAUCCUUUUGUUUUCCUUUAAUUUGUCUUCUUCUCCAUUUAAAUAUAGUCACUUCAAUCAUUUUUUUUCUCUCUCAAUAUUAUCUCUAAUAUCUUAUACUAUACAUUAUUCAAAAUUUACAUUAAACUUUUCAUUAAUUACAUCUAUCUUGCUCCUUUUUAUACAUGUAUAUAGAGUGAUCACUUGUAUAUAGUUAGUUUUUUAAAAAUAUAUAACAAAUAUAAUCAAGGUGGAAUAAAUUAAGACCGAACAACUUUCCAUUCAUUUAUUUUAAAAAGAUUAGAUUAAAUAUUGUAAGAGUUGUUGGCUAAUAUAUAGAGUGUGAAACGAAUCUCAAACCUUAAGAUUAGUGUUGUAACAAAUUAUGUGUUAACUGUGAGCUAUAUUCAUGUUGGCGACUUUAUUCUAACUCGUACUUUUGAAUUUCAAUAUAAAAUAUUAGAUACACGAUGAUGAAAAAUAUUGUAAUAUUCUUUGUAAAAUGAAAUCUCACUUUACCAAUAAUAUUAUGCUUAACUACUUUUGAAAUUAGGUUUGAUGUGUAUAUAAUAAAGUAUUUAUAUGAUUGAUAAUGAUAUAGUUGCAAGGUAGGAGUAAUAAUAUAUAUAUAUUAUAUAUAUUAAAAAAAGUGUGUGCCUUGAAUAUAGGAGUUGGGAAGGUGGGGCAACAUUGGCAUCCCAUGUGAAGCAUUUAAUUUAGACUAUAGUUUUCAUGUACGUGUUUAUAUAUAUAUAUAUAUAUAUAUAUAUAUUGAUUGGGUUUAUUACAUUUGACAAUUUUAUAUGCUUGUGGACAAAGAAGAACACUAUAUAUCCAACUACUAAUGCUUGAUUUUGACUAUGAACUUCUAAGUUUUGAAACAAAAUUAUAAUAAUUAUAAUUAUAAUUGAAUUGUUUGUUACAAUUUAGACUUGAGUUGGGCCUAUCUGCCAUUAUAAUGUCCGAAAGAGUAAGCCUGGGCCCCAUUUAGCCCAAUAACCCGGCCCACUUACAAAACCUUGUUGGAUAUUGGAGUCAAAUUUUAUUUUUAAAAAAGAUUUUCUAACACAAAUAUUCAGAAAUAACUUGACUAUUACAACUUUAUAUAAUAUCAACGUAGUAAUUAACAUGCCCCUAUCUAUUUUUAGGUUGGAUCAAUCCUUUCUGUAAUUGCUGUACUAAAAUUUUUAAAAAAAAAGUUUCAAAGAAUAAAGUAAAUUAAUGGUAAAUAAUAAAAUUGUUUAAAGCAUUUAUAAAAUAUAGCAAAUUUUCAUAUUUCAUCGUUGAUAGCACUACUAUCUAUGCACUUAUAAAAGUCUAUCAUGUUUGAUUAUACAAUCAUUACUUUAUUAAAUGUGGAUUAAAAUGCAAUAAUCACUUAUUUAGCAUGUGUUUACUUGUUCGUAGAAACCUUUAUUUAUAUAGAAAAAUUAAAUUUGAAAAGUUGGAGUAAAAACAUUAAUUCAAUCACUAUAUAUAUUUUUACGAAAUUUAGAAAUAAAAAAAUUGAAAAGAAAAUGAAUGAUAGUGCAACCAAGAAAUAAACUCAAUUCACGAAAUAAGAAACCUAAAAGAAUAGACUACAAAUAGAGAAGAGAGUACCUGAAGGAAACUAAAUACUAUUUAUUGAAAAAGUUUAGAUUUCAAACCAUAAUUCGACAGUAGAGGUACGGCUGGCGGCUCGGAUGCGGAAGAGGCGCGGCUCACGGCUCAAGUGCGGAAUGGGAUCGGCUCGCGCUCGGCAGUAGGACGGCUCAAGGCUCGGCUUACGACUCGGAUGCGGAAUGGGAUCGGCUCCCGGCUCCCGUACACAUACAGCUUGGACAGAGCGCGCGCUUGCGAGAGGAGACGGCUACCGGCGCGGACGCGGAAGAAAAGCUUCACACGGCGGCUAGGCUUCGUCGGACGAUCGGCUGUGCGCGGCUGAUGGAGAUAAAUUCGACGAACGAUCGGCUGGGUUUCGAAGAAGACCUUUCUCUUUUUUUUAAUUGCACUAAAUUUGAGGACCAUUUAUAAAUAAUAAUAAUAACAUCAUUACUUUUUCUUUCUUAUUUUCAUUACAUCAUAUUUUUAUGUUCCCUAAAUUUAUUAUCAUCGUAGUUAAAUUGAAACUUUUUAUCCAGCUAGAGUUGAUUAUUAUAGUGGUUCAUAAUGGUCACCGUUUAUGUUAGAGAAAUAAAAAAAUAGAAAAACAAACAAAAAUCUCAAGGCUACUGCGAAUGAGGAGGGAGUGAAGUGAAGUGAAGCUGUCUGUAUCCUAAUUAGCGACUAUCUGUUUGCGAGUCUCCCCCAGUUCAUGGUUCUUCUCAAUAAUCAUGACCUCCAAAAUUUCAGUUUCCACAUUACCAUUUCCCCCAUCUUCCCCAACAUCUACUUGCUCAAGACUUUCACCCUCCACUUCCACUUCCUCUUCCAUCUUAUACCCCAUAACCCCCAAAUUUCAUCUCUCCUUGUGUAAUUUCCCACUGGGUCUCCGCCUUUUCUCUCCAUGGACUGGUUUAAAGCACUUGGGUAUUUCUACCAGAGGAAGGUUUCCCGGUAUGGAUAUAAUACUCUUUUAUGUUUAAGAUUCAAUUACUUUUUCAUAUGUGUCUGUUUGAUUUCAUAUUGUCUGAAAGUGGUAUUUUUGCAGAGAGAAGGAAGAGAAUUCCUAAGGGGAAAGCAGUUUUUGCAUCUUUGUUUGGGGUUGGAGCUCCCGAGGCACUGGUUAUUGGGGUUGUGGCUUUGUUAGUUUUUGGUCCCAAGGGCCUUGCUGAGGUUAGUUAUACAAUUCUUGUAGAUUACAGAAAUUUUGGAGGUAUUUGGCUGUUUCAGAUUUGUUUAUUUCGUUUAAACGUUUUUGUGGAUUUUAUUGUCUGAUGUUUUCUUGAUGAUGGCAAAAGUUGCGCCUUUGAUAGAAUGAAUUCUCUUUAGAAAUUAGAUUCCAUCUAUUUAAGGUAGUCUGGUAGGUUUUGGUGUUGGUGCCGUUGACCAAAGUUUCUAUUAGAAACAAGAAACUUCCCUUACCUUAAUGCUCUAGUCUUUUUCUGUCUUGAGCCACGGUGGAGGAAUAAUUAGUGUUGAUGCAAAAAUCAACAUUUGCUGCCUCGGCCUGGUCGAGGCCAAGCAGCGCCAAGCAAUGCCGGCCCUAGUUAAGUCUUGUAUUCAAACCCAUUCCAGCCUUGGGGCAUCGUUGCUAUCGUUGCUGGCCCUGAUUCUAUUAUUUGAUUGGCUUUGUUGCCCUUUUUUCAUGUUUGGCAGAUUAUACCCAUUGGUCUCAUAACAAGUAUGCUGUAUUGUCGCAAUGACAAGAAGGGUAGCUUCCUAAUUCUUUGACAGACCUUCAAUCAUUGUUGUGUACAUGAUAAAGUGUGUUAAGAAAAAUCUCAUGUAUUAAAUUCACCCUUGUGACUCGGUUUGUUGGUAACUUAAGGAAGCGUAACGUGUAAUCACCAUAGGUUAGCCAGCCUAGUUACACGAGAGCUAUCAUAAAAAGUGAGGUUAUGAGUUUCUCUCCCAUUUACCUUUUGGAGGAAAAGGUGAUCUUUUUUGGUUUGUCUGCGUUUAGGCUUUGUUGCGGGAUCUUUGGGAGAGAAACAAUAGAAUGUUUAAAGGUGUAGUGAGGGGCUCUAAUGAGAUUUCAAGGUUUCAUGUUUCUCUUUGGACUUUGGUUUCAAAUAUUUUUGGUGGGCUUGCUUUUUUGUUUGCCCCUGUAUUGUUUCGUUUGUUUAGCUAGAGCCCUCUAUGAGUAAUAUUGACAACCAAACGUAGUAAGGUCAAACAAUUGUCUUGUGAGAAUAAGUGAGUUGAACCUCUGGUCCAAAUACUCACAAUUAUUUUAAAAAAUAACGUAACUUAAGGGGCAUGACUAAGAAUAUAGAAGCUCCUUAUGAAGAAAAGAUUUGUGCACAUAUUUUGGGAACUUUAGAGUUGGGGAGUGAUAAGGAACUCCAAGAAGUUUCAUUAGUUUGUACUUCUCUGAAAGGGUUUCUAUCAGUUAUAACUUAUAUUACGAUGUCAUAUUUAAAGCGCUGAGAAAUGAAAUCACUGCAUUCAUUGUCUCUUCUUUGGUAAAAUAGUGGGUGGUAAAUGUUUUAUAAAGAAUUGUGAGUGAUGUUGAUAGUGAUUAUAUUUUCUAAUUCUCCACAUCUCUUUUGCUGUGCUUUUUGAAAUUGAAUAAUUCUCAGCUUCUAUCACGCUUUACUUGAAAAGAACACUAAUGAUACUUGAUAUGAUUUUAAACAUCUUGGUUAUUACAAUGGACUAUCUGUUUAUUUCUUUUCCGAGGGUCUUGUCCAGUUGGAACCCAAAAAGUGAAGGCAUCGGCUGCCUCAUAGGUUUCCUUUUCCCUGUGCUGCACUCUUGUUUUGAGAACCCUCAUCAUCAAUGGUUCUCUGUGAGUAUUGGCUUGUAACUGUAAUGGAGAUAAGAAAGAAGGAUAAUCUCAUCUCUGAAUUAAGUAAUGCAAGUAUAUAAAUGAAAUCUAGCAUUUUAAAAGAUUCCUCCCUACUAUCAUUGGGUUGGCCUAGUGGUCAACAAGGUCCAUGAGUUUAAUAAAGGACCUAGAGGGAAUGAGCUCAAUUCAAAUUCACGGUGGCCAACUACCUAGGCUUUAAUAUCUUCUAGUUUCCUUGGCACCCGAAUGUCGUAGGAUCAGACAGAUUGUCCUGUGAGAUUAAGUCAAGGUGAGUAUUAGCUAACCCAAACACUCAUUGGUAUAUCAAAGAAAUAAAAAUUAAAGGGUCCUCCCUCUUAAUUUGAUGUAUUUGUUGUAUGCUCUCAAAAUUGUUGAUACUGACCCAAAUACUCAAACGGCAGUCUACCAUUUGUACUUGUUUGGAGACCAAAGUACAAAGAAAGUUGGUUUGGCUUUGGAGAUCUCAAAAGGCUAUGAAGGUCAACAAGUUCUUGGUAUACAUUAUUACAGUGUAGAGUGCUGAAAGUUGCUCAUUUAUGUUUCCUGAUAUGAGACUUGUAAAAGGGUAAGAGUAACUUUUUAAGACUGAAACCACUUGAAAUGAGGAGAUUGAUAUGUCAAUGUUAUUUAUUAAUUUGUUGUUAUAAACAGAAACGGGCAGUCUUAAAUGAACACAUGUUAGUGAAGAGUAAGGUUAGCCUUGGGUCCUUAACCCCAUCCUCAUUGUAAAAAGAUUAUAAUCCAGCAAUAUAUCAAUUGUAAUGGCCCUAAUGGGUGAUCCUACUUCUAGUCUUGUGCACCUCAAUGUAAACUUCAGGAUAUUGAGCUUUCCACUUGGAUGCUGGAACUCAAGAACUUGCAAAACUUCCUUAAAACGUCGAAAAUCUUUACCAGGGCCACUCCUUGGCAGCAAGGCUGAUGAUUUGAAACUGCUAUUAUAUAAGACAAUAAUUUUGGAACUUCUUUUGGUGGCUCUAUCUCCAAGUCUAAAGAUGAAGCUGAUGGAAAGUUCUUUUUCUUUGGUGUUUGAUAGUUCUUGAUUAUAGAGCUUUGAUCUCUGUGCCAAUCAAAUUUGUUCUGGGCAGGUUCAUGUGAAACAAAAAAAAAAAAAGAAAAACCUCACUGUCAGUUUCCUAUGUUGCCCUUGGGUUUGGUAGAAUGGAAUGCUAGGAUUUAUUUUGAUUUGCUCUUCUGACUGUUAGAUCAAACGAAUGAUGCUGCUCAUCUGAAAGUUGGUAGCAUUAUGUGCUUGAAAACUUGUAGAGUAUGGAAGGUGAAUGGUCAAAUUUGACUAAUCUUAAUCUGCUGGCUUUGUAGUCGAAACAGGUUGUCUGGCUAACUUUCUUUACAUUUUCAACCAAUUAGGAUCUCUUUCUGUAAACUUCCAAGGUGUUGGCUGGGGAAGACGAGAAAUCCUUGUUGAAAUCUUGAGUUUAAUUCUUAAAAACCUCUUCAGAGGCCUCCAGAAUGUUGCAUUUAAUCAAAAACAUAUAUCGAGUUUGCCUGAGUGAAAUUCUAAAAAACAUCUCUUCAGAGGCCUCCAGGAACUUGAAAGUUGAAGCUUUAUAAAGAAAAAAUCGUUCAAGUAAGCUGAUCCAUUGAACUUGGAAUUGGAUCUCAAAAUAGAUCAACCUCAAGUUAAUUUAACUAUUUUACCAACUAUCAAACAAAAAGGAAUUUGUUUUUAUCAAAAGCAUCUAGGACUUUGCAUAAGAUGAAAACAACUUGACAUGCAUUGAUUACCAAGUCUAACAAAAGACCUGAAAACCAUUUGGGCAGGUUUUUGUUAAAUUCUUUAGAAGAUUUAACCUAAAACAUAUCAAUAAGUCCCAAAUUUAGUUGACUUAACUUAUUUACAUGCAGGUUGCUCGGACUCUGGGGAAAACCUUACGUGCAUUUCAACCCACUAUUAGAGAACUCCAGGUUGUUAUAAAAGUAUAUAGUAUAACUUAUAUAUCAGUUUUUGAGAUUUUCUUGUAUAACUUCUUAUAGACCUUAUUGUAGUUUUUUGUUCUUCAUUUUUGUCUCUAGGAUGUUUCUAGAGAAUUCAAGACCACGCUCGAGCGAGAAAUUGGUCUCGAUGAAAUUGAGAGUUCAGUUAACAGCUCAUACAAUGCCAGCAAAUCUACCUACUCAAACCCACCUUCUGUUUCUAAAGCAGAAGAAUUUGUUUCAAACUCACCUUUUCUUCCUAAAGCAGAAGAGCUUUCAGUGGCUGAACCAAGUGAGCGAUUAAGUUAUUUCUUAUCCAUAUUCUUAUUUGUUAUCGGUACUUCUGUUCUAGGGAAGAAAGCUACAUAGAAAAAGUAGAAUGCCAAAUGGAAAAAAAAAAAAGAAAAAAAGAUCAGUAAGCAGCCUUAUUUUUUGAAAAUAGAAACAAAAAAUUAACAAUUAUUGUUAAACCAAGCCAUUUGAGAACAUGAAAUAAAAUUUAAUAGCUGCCGUGCAUCAUGUCUAGGAAUGUUAAAAUGAAACAAUCAGUAGGGUUAUAGAAUCAUCGUUCUGUCAGCUUCAAUUAUGAUACGGUUUUUGAAAGAAAAUUUUCUUAUGUAUUUUAACAGCAGAUGAUUCUUCAUCAGCAAGCAAAGCUUAUAGCUCUGAAGAAUACCUAAAAGUUACAGAAGAGCAGCUAAAAGCUCAAGAUGAGCUUCAAACCAAUUUUGUAGCCCAAAACCAGAGUGGAUCUCAAGUACAGCGUGAAGGUUGUUAAAAUCAAAUCUCUCAAGUUUUAUUUGAUAACUAUUUUGUUUUGAUCUCAUUUUUUAGGUAAACAUUUGAAUUCAUAGUCAAAUUCUAAAACCAAAUGGUUAUCAACGGGAUCUUCAUUUUCUCACCCUCCUCCUAAAACUCUAACAUAUACUCUUAAUAGGAACUGUUGAAGAACCUGCCACGGGUGCUCCUGAACUCCAAAAUCUUGACAUAGGUAAGGUUGAGGAGUCAACUGCCUCAGCACCCGGACCUCCUGGAACUGAGACGUAGAGUUAUUGGAAUCGGAAUCCAUUGUGGAUGGAUGAGUAUUUGUUGUUUCAUCAAUGGAUUGGAUAUGAUACAACAUGUUUGUUUAGGUGGGCAAUUAGAAAAUGUGUUAGUGUUUGGGAGAGGUGAUUUUAUCAGUGUCUUGGAACGUAAUUAGUUUCUAGGCAUUGGAUAAGAUGGUUUUUGUUGGAUUACUAUUAAGUAGAAUUCCUUCCUCAUUUCAUAUUAAUAUCUUCCACGGAUUUUAGUUUUAAAAAAAAAAUAUAUAAUUCUUAGUCUAUCAGUUUUGUGAAAUAGAUUCAAAACAUAUUCUAAUUAGAUUACCUUACAAAAUGGCUAAUAAAUAAUAUCCAUAAAAGAAAUAUAUAUAUAUAUAAGAAAUUUGAAAUUCUAACAUCUUGGUCAAUAAUUAAACAAUUUCAUUAUUAAUAAAAUAAAAAAGCAUUUUUGCGCAAUUAAAAAGGAAAAAAAAAGGGUCACAUAAUGUAAAUAACAUUAUAAAAAGCAAUAUUUCCCCAAGAAAUUCAAAACCCCAAAUUCUGUCCUCUUCCACUUUAUUCAAAUCACUUGGGAAAACAAAAACCUAAAUCUCCAAAACAAACUCCUUAUCCUUCUCCAGCCUCGCCAUAGCUUCUUCCUCCAAGCUUAUCUCCACAUCGAUUCCUCCAUUCUUCCCUUGAUACAGAUACAUCAUCCCAUCAAAUCUAUUAUUACAUCCACUCCUCACGCUCUCCGGUUUUCCCCAUCCAAAAUCCACCUCAUACACUUUAAAUCUCGGUGAACUCCCCACCGCCACACAGUUCAUUCCAGCGUCCUUGAACUCGAAGAUCUUCGGCGCACUCUCCCAUUCUUUGUUCCUUUGAUCGAUCGCCGCUGCGUCGUGUGACACGAUUGCCUUUUGGAUCACUCCAGCCCCGAAUUCCGCCGGAUUCAUCAGUAGUAAUCCAGCGGCAGUCCCGGUGAAUAUCGCUUGGAUUAGGUUUCCGAAGUAGCUCUCCGGCAUUGGCGGAUCCACGCGUUUACGGCAGUCUGCGAAAACGGUGAAGACGGUGAUGUCUUCCGGCUUCAGGUUUCGGGCCUGUGUGACGUGACGCCAUAUGUGGACGGAGAGUGAUUGGAAAGUGGAGAAUGGAGUUGAGCCGUCCGGUUUUGGUGGAUUUGCUGAGUUCACUUUUGAUUUGAUCUUGUUAAUGGCUGUUUCUGUGAAUUUGAAGACCUUCUCCUUUAGCGGUUUCGGAGGCGGGGCCGUGGAAUCGCCAUUGGCGGAUGCGGGUUGCGGUGGCGGAGGGGAUAUGUCGAGUUUUACUCGUGUGUUGCGCGCCUUGGUGCGCUCGAGAAAUGGAGGGACGGAUAUGUCUUGAGCCCCACGGGAGACCUCAGCCCAUGAGCUCAUAAAGUGCCACGUGGCGGUUCCAUCGAGUACGGCGUGAUUGAACGCGCAUCCCAUUGCGAUUCCGUCCUUAAGCUUGGUUAUCUAGACGGAAAACACACAGUAUUUGGUUGUUAGUGGGCUGUCUGAAGCUGAUUUAUUAGCCCAGUUACAACUAUUUUGCUCUGGGCUUGGACCAUUGAACUACUGAGCCUAGGCCCACAAUCCUCAUGAUGCCAUAUUGUGCCGGGGAUCCACAACUUUGGGACCCAGGCUAACAUGGUAUUGAAAAUUCAGUUUAAUAAUGAAACGAAAAUAUUAGAAAAGGAUAUAGUCACACAUAUAACCAUUAGACUGAAAAUAAUUAAGGAAUAAUUGUAAUGGAGGGUUAUUUUUAGAUUAAUUUUAUUAUAUUUACAAAUUUGUUAUAUACUUAAUUAUUUUGAAUAUAACAAAGUUUUAAAAAAACUUUUAAAUAUAUCAAUCUGUUAAAGUAUAUCAAUAUAAAAGUACUGAUAGACUAUUAUUAUGUUGUAAAUACUGUUCCAUCACUAAUAGAUUCUAACUUUUACUAUAUUUGUAAUUUUUAAAAAUGUUGUUAUAUAUUUAAUUAUUAUUCUUAAAAUUAUCAAUAAUUAUAAUUAUUCUUAAAAAUGUUAAUUUACUAAGAAUCUUAAAAAGAUUUUAACAAAUAUGAAAGAUAUAUAUAUAUUUAUUGCAUUUAUAUGGCUUUGACCAUUUUGGACUUUUGUUCAAUUUUACUCCUGAAUGUUUUAUGAAACUUAUUAAUUAAAUAUGUAGCAACAUGAUUGUAUCGCUAAUAAUAGAUUGGAAGAGUGAUCUAUAUAAAGGUUUUAAUGAUAUAUUUGUAAUUAUUAUUAUUUAUUACAAUUGUAAUGGCUUGUGUUUCUUUACACUAAAAUUAUUAUCAUUAUUUAAACAAUUUAAGUGAAAAUCAACUAUAAAGGGUUAAAAUUCGAAAAUAACUAUCAUAUUUAUUUUACCUGAACAGCCAACAAUGGCCUCUGGAGACCUUCCAAGUUGAGGAUCCCAUUGUAUGGAAUCAGCUCCUUGAGUGUAGCCGUGCCUUCCUCUGCCACCAAAUCGGCUAAACCCACAUCCUCGGCGACAGCUUCGGCCACCUCUACGCCUUCCAUAUCAUCAUCAUACUCCACUCUAAAAAUCCCAUCCUCAUCCUUACCCAACCUCCCAGCAAGCUGAUGGAAUGGCUCAAGAACCAUCUCCAGACCAUCCUUCAGCUUCUCCACCGUCUCAGGGAACUUCACCUCCCCCCCAUUGUCCCCGUAGAGGAUGAGCUUUUGGUUGUAGUAGAAGGCAAGAUAAGGGAGGUCAAAUGUGACCAAUUGGUAGUGUUUUGUACCCAGUUUUUUGUUGGGUUUGACAUGGGUUUUGCCUAUGAUUUUCACCUUCACUUCUUUCUCCUCUUUUUUCACAGCUUCAGGAAGAUCACCUGCCAUGGAUUUUGAACAAACAAACAAAGACAAAGUAAAAAGAAAAAUAGAGAUUAACUGAGGAUGUGGAGAGAAAAGGAAAAAGAUUUUGAGUGUUUUAUAGAGAAAGAAAGUAAGUAAUAUGGUUGGUAGUGCAUUUAUGGGGUUCAUAAGGUGCAGUUGUGACAUAUUAAUGUUUGUCUUGAAAGUUGAGAACCCACUGGCCACUGGUUCUGCCUUUGGAUGGAAGUUAGAGAAAUUACAUUGCCUUCUUCUUCUUCCUCUUCCUCUUGGUGCAAAAUAAAUUAUAUAACCAUCAGGCUUCUUCCCUAAUAAUUUAGGACCCGUUGUGUUUAUAAAUUACUUUUAAAAAAAGAAAUGUAUUGUAAUUCACUUCUUGAUUUGUAGAAAAAUAUUUCAAUAAACAUCGUUCAUUUCAUGUAAUGAGGUUGGAAAAGGUGUGUAUGUGAAGGGCAAAUAUGGAAAAGGGAGGUCUAAAAUUGCAAAAUAAUAGUGACAAAAAUUGACCAAACAAGUGGUUGGAGAGUUUUAGUUGAGAUGAAUUUAUUUUGGAUUUUUGGCAAAAGCAUCCCCUCUUUAAUAACCCAUAAGGCUCAUCCUAAUUUGGCAUUACAUAUCAAAUGGAACCCACCCAUUUAUUUUUAUUGCCUUUUAACUUCACUACCAAAACAAAAUAAUAAUAAAACCUUCUACCCAAUUUUCAAACUAAGAAGUAAUCUUUCUUACCCACUCUAAAUUGAUUAAUUUAUAAAAUUUACAAAUUUAACUAACUCAAAUCAUAACUUUCUUAUCCCCAUAUUAGUUUAUCAAAGAUUAAGAAGUAUAUAAUUUUAUCCCAUUACUAAAAUUUAGGGUUUAAAUAAAUAAAAUUAUUAUUGAACAAGUCAUAUUAACUUUUAACUUUUAGAGGUUUAGUGACAUUUUCAAAAAUAGCAAAAUAUUAAAACUAUUUAUUCCUAUAUCCAUUAAAUUUUCUAUUCUGGUAUAAUUUUAUGAAAUUUUUUCAAAAAUAGUAAAUUUUACAAAAUAUUUACAAAAUAUUUACAACUUAUAGCAAAUUCUAUAACUGAUAUAUUAUGGUGAUAAAAGACUAUCAUUGAUAGAAUAAAUAUAAGAUAUGGUUCCAAAUUUUGAAUUGAUCUUUUUUUUAUGUGCACAGAUAAACUCAUAUUUAUUGGACAUUUUCAAAUAUAAUACAAUGAAUUAAAAUAUUUACAAAAUUUCAAACUAUAUCAAUCUAUCAAUGUCUAUUAAAAACAACUCUAAAACAAGAAUAGCUCAAUUUAUGACAUAGUGUUUAUAUUCUCAAUUAUAAAGUGAAAGAUUAGUGUUAGUGUAAGGAUAUUACAAGAACACUAUGAAGAAUCUAACGACCCAUUUAGAUUGAUUUAAGAAAAAAGUGUUUUAAAAAAACACAUUUUGAUUUAAAUUCUCUUUCGACUAAAACUAUUUAAAAUAUAUUUCAAAACUGAUUAUCGAACGACUUAUUUUUUAAAAUUAAAUAUUUUAAAAUGCAUUCCAUACUAAUCAUUUGGUUAGACUCUUAUUUUGACUGCGUUGACACAUUGACUUACUAGAUUAAACUUUGUAGAUAACAUUCAUUUAAAUCUAGAAAAUUAAAAUUUGGUGGCGAGAGUAUCUAACUACCCUUUUCAAACUUAUUGAAAAAAUAUAUUUGAUUGAACUAAACUCUUAAAUGAUUUAAAGUUACUCAAUUUAGAACGUUUUUUUUUUUAUCAAGAUUUAAAUGUGAAAAUCGUACAUGCAUUCAAUUUGUACACUUUUACUAACUUAUUCAAAAGUCAUACUAAAAAAUUGAAUAAUUAUCAUUGAUACAUGGACAUUUUUUUUAAGUAAAUCGUAAUCAAGAGUCUAAGAUGAUUAAUUUAUAUUAUUAAGGAUUUAAUGGAUAAAAUGAUAGGUUGUUAUAUGGUAUCUUUAUUUUUUAUAGAAAAAGUUAUAUGUAUAUAUGUUGUGUCACAUGUAUUUUUGCAACAUUAAUUAAUGUGUGAAGCCCACAAAGAGGUUGGCAUUAAUAUAAACAGCAGCAAUAAGUGAGAGUGCUUAUUUUGGUUCCUAACCUUUCCAUAGCCACAAAAGUAGUUAUAGACUUUUAGUUAAAUCAAUGUUAACUCAAAAUCAAUAUAUUUCUAUUUUGACCAUUUCAUUAUCAACUUUUAAUCAACUAAUACUUAAUUAAAUACCCAUUUAGAAUGCAGAAUGGAACCAUUUUGAAAUUAUUUCUAUUAGUAUUUUGUAUUCGAUUGUUUAUAAUUAAAUUUUCUAACCUAAUCGCGAACCCAACAAUACCAAUUAAGUUAAAAUUUGUGAUUGGAGGGUAAAAUCCAUCUCAAAAUCUUCAAAUGAAAUGUUUAGAGCUUCAUUUCAAGUUUGGUUAAUUAAAAUCAAAUGAACAAAUAUAGAAGAUGGGAAGUAAUUGGUUUGAAAACCCAUCAACUCCAUUAAAUGGAAUAACUUCCUAAUCCUAUGUUCUAACCAUUUAAAAUUUCUCACAUAUAAUUUCGCAUAUUGUAUGCCUUUAAUUCUAUGUUUCUCUCUUUAAAAUACUUUAAAGAUAUAUAUAUACACAUUAUCAAAUAAAAUUUUAUUCGUCUCUAUCCUAAAUAUCAUUCACCAAAACCAAACUAUAAUGGUCUUACAUGUCCUUUCAAUUCUAGAUUUUUCUUUUUAAUUUUUAAAAUUCAUUGAGAAGAAUUUUUGUUAAGGUGUUCCAUUUUUUUUUUUUUUUAACGUUCGAAAGCAGUUUUAUUUAUUAAUUCAUGUAUUCACCAUUAUUAUUAUUAUUGAAAAUUUAAUGGAGUUAAAUUGAGGUAGAUGGAAAAUAAUGUCAUAUCCCAUUAACUCAAUUGAAGAAUUAUAAAGUCAAUAUAAUGACUGUGAGUGUCAGAGUAUAUAUAUAUACCAAAAUCAACUUUAAAAUUAAUCUUAUUAUUAUAAUUAUUAUAUAAUAAUUAAAUUAACAUUCAUAGAUUAAAAAAAAUCUUUCUCAGGAUGGUGAAUGUCAAACUAUCAAGUGCACAUGGAUAUGGGUUUGUGCCCCUAUAUUAAAUGUUAUCAUAAAUAUUGGCCACGAUGCAUAAUUUCUUGACCUACAAAAUUGGAGGAAUUGUUUCUUUUUUCUUUUUAUCAUAAAAUAUUAUAUUUGAGAAGAUAAAUCAAACAUACUUCAUAUCCAAGUUAGCACAUGAUUUUCCAUUUUCGAAAACAAACAUCAUGCAAUAGUUCAAUGAGGAAUAAUUACAUUAAUUUACAAAAUAUAACUAGAGUAGUUAGACAUCAAUCAACCUCAUUUGCGAUUUAAUUCCUCUUUUAAAUAUGAAAUGGAUUUAGUUAUUCCAUUAUAUAAAGAUGAAAAGAAAAUUGGAUUAUAAAAGAUUAGAGAGUAACUUAGGAAAAAAGUAAUGUAGGAUUUUAUAACUUACUUACUCAAUCACCCAUAGGGGAAAAAAAUCUCAAAUACCCACAUAAUUUUUCGAUAAUGUUAUAGCUUCCCUUUACCAUUUAAUGUUGUCAUUAAUUUGUGGCACAUUACUUCCAGUUCAAGGUUUUUGAAGUUCAUAUCAGACAUUUAUGGAGGGGGAAAUGGAUGAUGAUGAACAAAAUGUGGAGAGUUCAAUUUCAUCUUCAUUUUCUUUUCCCAUAAAAAGUUAGUAAAAGUCAAUGACAAGGUAUAUGAAUCCUCUCGUUAGUUGAGGCAUGUAUUUUUAACCCAAAUAUUCGAAGUUACAACUUUUCAUCUCAAAGUAAUUUAGGGUGAAAAGAGAUGAUAUGUAUGUUAUAAUGUUUUCAAGAGUUCUCUACCUAGAACCAUUAAAGAGUACAAUUCAACUAUAACUAUAACAGAAUAUAUAUUUGGAAUUCUCCAACAAUUGACUCGAAAGAAAUAGUCUGUACUAUAAAUUUUUAUCUCCAAGUAAUUCAGAGCAAAAAAAGAAACAUGACAUUUUGAAGAGACUACUUGAAUGGUCUACCAAUACGGAACAUGAAUUACACGAGUAAGAUUCUAAUUGUAUUGAACAUACCAAUCCAUGAUGUGGUCAUUAAAAAAAUUAGAUUCAUAUGUUCAAAAAAUAGAAGAUUACAGAUUGAAUCGUUAUCAGAAUUGUACCUUAUUAGAGUAGAAGAAGACUCUCCUUAUAAGAAUCUGCAUAAACCCAAUGAGAUCCCAAUUCAAUUCCAAUAUCUUCAAUGCGAUCCAGUUCAGUGUCAACCAAUGCAAGGCUGGGGUUCCCCAUCUCUUCAAUCUGCCUAACAGUGAGAAAUUUAUAGUCUAAGAGGCUCCAAGGUCUUGUUAUUUUCCCAUGCAAUGGCAGAACAAUAGAGUUUAAUCUCACCCAAGACCCCAUUUUCAAAGCCCAUGUGUCACACACUUGCUUCCCGUUCCCACCAUCAGGCCUGCAAUGGAAAAUAGAAAGAGAUUCUUGGACUACUCCCAAGCAUAAUGGUGGAGUGUCUAUGUAAACCAAACAAUCAGGCAACAUUAGUCUAUGAAACUCCUCAGUGGCUAUGUCAAAAGAGAGAAUGGAAUUGGGAAUUCCACCAUUUUUGUGCUUCACAAUCCAAUAAAUAAGCCCAUUAGAGCAGAUGGAUUUGGACAACAAUCUGCAGUCAAGUGCAGUAGGAAUUGUAGGAACAGAAGAAACUCUCCUCCAACAAUCAGCUUUGAGACUGUAAAUUUCCACUUGAUAACAGCAACUCCAUUGCUCAAUCCUCACAAUUCUCAACACUAUGUGAUCGUUCGUUGCUUGAUGGAAGCCAAAUGCUAGGUAGUUUAGAGGCCAACAAUGGUCCCAUUUGGGAAUCAAACUACUGGGAAGCAACCUAGUUUUCCUAACAGAAGGGUUCCAUAUAUAAAUUGGAUCAACAUCCAAUAGACUUGCAGACGAAAUGCAAACUAACCCAUUAUAUGAUCCACAAACAGAGAGUUUAUAGCCUAGAUUGGCCUUCAUAGGAAUCUCUGAUCGAAAAGUUUCAUUGAAUGUUUCAGCAUUAACAAGUGAGAAACAUGCUUUCUGGUCUGUGGGGGAGCUAUUGAUUAUGAGCAGAGAAUUUGGGAUUCUCUUUUCCAAAUGGGCAUUAACAAACAAUGGGUUCUGAACUAAUUUGUUCCAUUCUUUGCAUACACAUCUGAAUCGCAGAAGCGAUUUCACAGGUAAAUACGAAAGAAUCUCAAUCAAAAUUUCAGUUGGACAAUUUACAAACACAUCGUGGGAAUCUAGUAGUACUCGCAUAGUUAGGCAGGAAAUCCAAACGACAGAAACCAAGUAGACAAUAUUAACGAAAAUAGGUUGAAAUGCAAGAGCAACCCCCAAGAAAAGAAGUAAAAUCUGCAGAUUUCACCUGUGAAUCAAAAGUAAUUUGAACUAAACUCAAAUGAAGAUUGCAAUCAAACAAUUUUUAUCGAGAUCUAUGCUAAUAUUUGGAGCACAAUCAAAGUGGAAAAAGGGAAGAAACGGUUGGUUGAUCAAUUGAAAGUGAAAGAAAAAAGGUAAGAUUCUGAAAGAAAGAGGAAAAAGAAUUCACACCAUCAAUCUUUGAACUGAUUCGAUUGGUUCCAAAAGUGUUUGGGAAGAGAGAGAGAGGGUGAGAUUAAAGUUAUAGUAAGAAGCUUUAAGUUGAAGAUUGGGAUUUGGGAUAUGGAAGCUCAGUAGUGGCUGCCAUACGCAGAAUAUUGUCCGUUACGGCGCCCACUACGCACAUUGAACAUCGUGACGAGCGCCAUAAUAUUGCCGCUAAGCUUUCUCCCAUUUCUCCCGCUUUAAUUUACUAUUCACAUAAAGCUCCAAUACAACCAAAAUCCCACUUGGCUCAAAUUAUGUAUUUUCUAAAUUCUGAAUUCAUAUCUAUUGAAAACUCUUAUCUAAUUUUAAAUAUCGUAUAAUUAUAUUUUAAAAAAUCAAACAAAAAUACAAUGAACUGAAUCUACAUUUCUUAAAUAUACAAUAAAAUGUUUAUAUAUAUAUAUAUAUAGAAAACAAAAAUAAACGAACCAUAUAAACUAAUUUAGACCGCCCACCCUAUAUGUUGGGAUUGAUAUUGAAAUUCAAAAGAAAGAAAAGUAGGGGAGAAAAGGCAUAUUCUAAAUGCAAUUAUUGUUUUAGAAGAAUAAGACAUUAGUCCAUAUUUUGACUAUAAUCUUUUUCUUUCUUUCUUUCUUAAAAGAAAAAACUAUAAAAUAAAUUAUUCAUUUUAAAAUAAUCUAUUAUAAAUUAAGAAAGUGAAAAUUAGUGAAAAAUCAAUUUUACACAGUAUACACAUAUAGAAGUGUUAGGUUUUAAAACUAUUAUAACACUAUACCUAAACUUCAAAGAUUAAAGGAUCAAAUUGGUAUUUUCUUUUUCAUAAAAAGUGAAUAAUUGUUAUUUAUUAAAAAUAAAUACAUAUUUUUUUUGUGAUUUUGAAAAUUAUUCUAGGCGAAAAACUAAGUGAGCCUAAACACGCAUCCCACACCGAGCCCAACAAACAAUAGCCUACAACGAAUAUAUGAGCUCAUGUUCCAUUGGGCCCAAACGAACAUCCCGAAACUCAUGAACUGAAUAGGCACGAACCGACCCGAAUACGAUUAGUGUUUCUUCCUCUAAAAAUCUUCGUCGCCGUAGCCAAGGUCAUCCUCAACCUUCUGCGCUGCGUCCUCGGCGAUCUGGUCCUCCACAUACUCGACGCCC
rnacentral:lncRNA from 1 species